rnacentral:lncRNA from 1 species
AGACUUGAUUCUUGGAAGAGGGUUUUGGAAAACGACACGCAAGAGCCAUUGGUACGGCCGGCGGAACGCCGUCGUUAACUUGAGCUCGAGCUCAAGCUUUUUUCUUCUUCUUUUUUUCCCGUCAGAAGCUCGAGUUCAGGUUCAAAGGUGGAGAUAGCAUGAGAAAUUUUCAAGCGAGUGAAUAUACAUGGUAGGGUUUCGAGAGAGAGAGAGAGAGAGAGGGAGCUUGAAUUGAAAAGUGGAGUGCGCAAGUGACAACGGCGAUGGCAGGUGGCCUUACAGGGGAAACGUCGAGGAGCCGCCAUGCUUUUGUCUUUUGCGUCUUAGAAAUGUUUUCCUUGUGGUUGUUAAAGGAUUAAUAUCUUGAAAACUCUCAAAUUAAUAUAUAUAUAUAUAAUAUUUUUUUAAUUAAUAUAUUUGUAAUAAAUUUAUCUUUAAUUAAUACACUUAUGAUAAAUUUAUCAUUUAUUAUCGAAUUACUAAAUUUGAUAAUACCUGACAAAUGAUUAGUGUACCAAUUUAAGAUUUUACUCUUCGGAUGUCACAGUUGUGAUUUUUUGUGGCAUUAAUCUAAUUUAUUUAAUGGUAUAUUUGUCACAAAUAUAUCAUUUUGAGUUUUUUUGUAGUCAAAUAAAAUUAGUUUUGGAUAAAUUUAUUACAAGUAUAUCAGUUUUUAGAUUUUUUUGUGGUCAGUUGGGAUACAUUUAUUACAUGUGUACCCGGAUAAAUUUGUCACAUGUAUAUCGAUUUACAGUUUUUUAGGAUAUUAACUCUAUUGUGAUUCUAUCUUUAAGCUUUUUUAUAUUAAAAGAUUCAUGUCGGCGUGGUUUAAUAAUAAUCAAUUAUAUUUUAUAAGUUUUUUAAAUAAAAAAGUCACGUGAGCAUACUUAAUCACGUCCAGUUGCUGUAUAAGAUUAUGCGGACAAAGAAGAUAACAGCAGCCAUAUUUGUUCCACCAACAAGAAUAAGUGACUUCCUUUUAAGUAUUUUAAAAGUGAGGUCAUUAAAGUCUCCUAAAAAAAGCAUGUGAUUAUGUUUACAGAUUUUUGACCAUUUAUAAACUAAUAGUAUGGUAUUAUAACUACUCUUAUCAAAUCAAAUGACGUAUGGCAUAAAUAGCGUAAAAGCAUUCAAAAUUUAUCUUAAGUUAUUUCAUGAUAUCAUUGAUGCUUAACAAUUAGAAAUUGUGACAUUUUAUGUCAGUUUCAAUAUUUUGUUUUUCAACUCAAUGGGACAAGUUAGCUUAGGUUGACUUGGAUGAGUGAGUAUAGAAAAUUAUGCACGAAUCGUGCCAUCAUAGGAUAUAGGUCAUUCAUAUCUAGUUCUCAAUAUAUCAUUUCAUUAGAUUAUAAUGAGACUAUUUAUAUUUUGUCUAGUAUCUAUUCAUACGUAAGUUUAAACUUUCCGAUUUAAUUUUUUAGUACAGUAUCGGAGUCAAGUUUUGUCCUCGCUUAUGGGAAUAUUCGCAUUACUAGUCCAUGAAAUUUUAUUUAACAUUAUGUUUAUGUAGCCUCGUGCUACCUAUUAGACCAAUUUCUUUCUUUUUUUAAGGUUUUUUUUCUUAAUUGUUGAAAGUGUUAAUCCUUUUCCCCACUAGCAAACGAAAACAGUGAGGAUGUAGUUACCGAAGGUCUCGAGAAAAGCUGAGAGUAUAAAAGUAAAGACAAGAAGGGGGAAAGGAGCAGUUAAGAAUUUGUUUCUUUUCCCAACGCUUUGGGAGAAGGGAGAUGGACAGGGGGCAUACGCGUUUUGAUUCUUUAAUUAUCACUUAAUGUGUGUUAUAGAAGCGUGGACCAAUCAUCAUUUACUUUCGUUGCCAGCUCAAUCAUCUUGCUUCCCUGGACAUGACAACCAAAAUGUGUGUUUGUCGCGACCUCCCUUUUUGGGCGCUCUUACGUGCGGACGCAUGCGAAGGCUAAUGGCUCGACUAAAUAUUAGGCUUAAUUCGGACUUUCUCAUGCCCAUCAAUUUAUGACUUAAUAAUUCGAGUUUUUAACCUACAAGUUAAUUUUAAAUAGAAGUCACAACUAAUUGAUUUAAGGUGGGUCAAUUACAAACCCAAAUGAAAUAUCGAGGGAAAUAUUUCACUUCUAUGCAACUAGAAAAACUAAGAACGUGGACUUGUAAUGCCUUUUCGACACCUCACCUUGUUUAAAGCUUGAGGUUUAAUUUCUUCUUUUUUUGUUUGUUUUGAUUUUCAAGAUUUUUCCUUGCAUUUUUGGAGACAAUUAACCAAAAAUUAUUUUUUUGACUUUUUCUGAUUUUUAUAGAAAAUAUAAAGUUCUUUUAUUUUUUAUUUUCUGGAGAAACAUAAAUAUGAAAAAGAUAAUAAUAAUAUUAAUGACCAGGGCUGAUCAGACCCGCGACUCAAACUGCCGGAUUCCAUGUCUUGUCCUUUCUCUUCUCUGCACACGCCAGACUAGGAAAAGAGAUAGGGAUCCCUUACCCACCCAGCCCGCCUAUUGUCUCCUUUCAUUUUUAUCUUUUCUUUUGAAUUUGUUUUUUCCCUUUCUCUCUCCGGUCUCUUCUUCUUCACGCUGCCCCGAGACCGAUCCUCAGCAUCCCAUGAACCCAGAACGAAAAGAAAUAAUAACUGUGAAGGAUCGCCCGAUCCUCAACGACCACCAACGGCUACUGGAACGCUUUUGUGAACGAUCAUUCGAAAGUAGGGUAAAAUAAGGGAGAAUAAAAUAGAAAAUAAAACUUAGUACAGGCAAAUAAUAUCAAUAUUUAGGUGAUGCGAACAAUAUUUUUGUUAGGGCCAAAUUGGUCCCCGACUUUUUUUAUGAAAUUUUAUCUUGAAAAUUUAGAAAAAAUUUAUGUGUCAACAGUAUUUAGAAUAAAAAAAGGGGCAUCACAAACUUCAUGUUACACUUAUGACACAGUUAUUUUAAACUUUUUUCUGCAUUAACGUGGCGCGACGCAAGUGCUAUAUUAAAAAAUUUAAAAGAAAAAUAAAACCCAAAGUUACUGUUAAUCAAUUGUCUUCGAAACCCAUAUUUUCAGCCCAACGACCUCAAAUCGCUCAAGACUCUCAAUUCUCAAGCCUCCCUAGGUUACAAGCCCUUAGGUCAAGCUUCAAGCUCAAGUGACCACAAUGGCUAGAUUUGGCUUUGAAGCUCGCCGCAACUAAAUCAUCGUCAAGGGACUCGCCCCUCCUAAAACACUUGCCUAGAUAUGAAAUUUCAGAUCUGCGAGCAAGCGGCGAUCACGGGUGAUUAAGCAAGGGCUCACCAAUGUCCUUAGAGGUCUAGGCAACUUUGGGCAUUGAUGGACAAGGGACAUAGGCGUUUUGGCUAGGCAAUCGUGAGCUUGAAGACAAUGAACAAUAACUUUGAAGAUGAUGAACAAUAACUUCACGAUAAACAGUAACUUCGAUUUUUUUUCUUUUUUAAUCUUUUUUUUAUAAUGCCACUCGCCACUUGUCCUUGAAGAAAAAUUAAUAAUGUCACAUCAAAUUUUUAACAACAAUUUUUACCAAAAUCCUAAUAGAGUAUAAAUAUGUCACUCAACUAUAAAUUUAUGAUUUUUUGUGCCACAAUUUUUUUUGGGUAAAUGUGUCAUGAUAGACAUUGCUUACAAAAAUUAAGGUUUUUGUGACUUUUAACCUUUGGAUUACGGUGAUUACUUAUGCAUGUUUAAGACGCUUGAGCAAACAUAAUUAUGGCAAAUUGGAAAUAAGGCCAAAGCAAACAUGUACUUCAUAUCUAAUCAUUAAGGGUGCGUAUGGUCACGUUUCUAUUCCUCGUAAUAAUUUCUUUUCAAAAACACUAUUUUCUAUUUAUGUUCUCGGAAAUAGUUUCUGAGCAUUUAAAAGCGUUAGGUAAUUGAACAAAAUUUCAAUUCCCGGAAGAGAAAUGCGUUUGGUACAAUUUCAAAUAUUUUUGUAACUUAGAAUUUCUUUUAAUUUAUUAAUAAUUUUAUUACAUUGUUCUUUUUCUUUCUUUUCUUUUUUCUUUUUCUUCUCCUUCCUCUAGUCAGUCGCUAGCCUUGGCCAUGGCCGACCUGCGACCGGCCAUCGGUGAGGUCCCCUCGAGCCCGGCGACUUCAUCGGCCCUCGUCUGGCCGGUCAUGGCUCGGCGAGGCUCAACCUCAUCCUGGCUAGGUGAGGCGACCUCGCCUAGAUCUAGCGAGGUGGACCUCGCUUGACCACCGCGAGGCUCCAGGAGGCCUCAUCGAUGGCCAACAAGCUCAAGGCGACCUCUUGGCGAGGUCGCUGAGUCUCAUCUGGCUGGUCACCAGCCUUGAUGGGGAAGAAGAGAGAAAGAGAAAGAAAUAAAAGAAAAGAAAAGAAAAGAAAAAACUUGUUUCUUGUUUAUUGUUUUUUGAGUUAUUCCCGGAAAUAAGAAACAAUUUUUUUUUUCUUGUUUCUAUUCCAAAUCUAUUCUCAUGAACAAAUUGUUCCUAGGAAUAAAAAAAUUACCAAACAUGUUUUUGUUUUAAUUCUAUUCCAGAGAACAAAAAAACAUAAACAGGUAUUCCUCGAAGCAUUACCCAACAAAACCUGAGUGAACGGACUGCAGAGCCCACCUAUUUUGAGGCCCAGAUUAGAACAAGGCAAAAGGAAAAAAAAAGUGACUAAAAUGUUUCUAUGGCUGAUAUAUCAUAACCUCCCGAAACCAAAUUGUGCAUACUAUAAUUGCCAGAGCUUUGAUCUUGUAUCAGCUUAUGAUAUCCAAAGAAGUCAACUCUUCUGAGUCAGGGUGAUUUAUCUGGAUUAUCGUAACAUGUGUAAUAAGUCCACACAUGUUUCAAGCAAUUCACAACCUUUCGCAAGUAAAGAAAUUAUUGGCGGGAGAGCUAGAAUCUUUGGAAACUACAUACAACGUUUAAAAAAAAAAGGCUGCCGCAACUUAAUAAAUUGACUAAUGCAAGGCUAACGAAUUUGUUCUCCGACAGAUCUAAAAUUCUCAAUGAGGACCUGCAACUUAAUAAAUUGACCAAUGCAUGUGGUAUGCACUUUGAGGUAGUGAUGUCACUGGAAUUCUCGGGGACGCCCAGAAGGCCUCAUGCUCCUUUUGCCUGUUCUUUUUUACUUUAUUGGAUGCAGUCAUCCAGUUCUCUAGCAUUGAGCAUCGGUGUGAUCUGUACUCUGGCUUGACUCUCUCAAGAGAUCUUGAAUAGCAACAAUUUCCUUUACCAUUUAGGUAACAUUCAUUUAGGUCCCGUGCAAGCACUGAAUGGUUUUAUCCUUCUUCAGAUGUUUUGAGCUGAUGCAGUGCAGCUUCUCUUUUGGCAAAUAGGAUGACUCUCUAGAUGCUAACUUCUCGUAUACUAAGAUGGGGCGAUUCUUACCCGACCACGGCAUGCAUCUAACCGAGAUUCCCUCUCCGUCUUGUUUCUGAUAUGAUGGUGCAACAAUCUCAAAUCGCUAGGACUUCAAUUUUUUAAAUGCCAUACUUUGCCAAAGAUUUUGAUAUAUGUUCCCUGAGGCAUUUACUCGGAGGCUGCUCUUUUUUUUCUUUGGUGGCAUCGGAAAGGAGGCUGCUCCAAGGCUUAGGGUUAUCAGAAAUUCUUUUUGGUCAAAUCGAAGCUUUCCCUUCAUUGUGCAUCUUUGAGGUUUUAUGUUGGGAACUUGGGAUACAUGUGAGAGAUGAUAAAUUGAUUUUCUAAAUUUGCUGUCGAUAGUAUCAAGUAUUAACUUGUCCAAAAGAUUUUACUGAUACAUUUGUGCUCUUCUGAUCAGUUGCAAUCUUAAGAGUGGUGCAGAAGCCUAAUAGAUAUUCUGUUAAUUGCGAGUGAGGCCCGUAUGUGCGUGUUGUAAUUAUCCUCCUCUAUCGACUUACAUGAUAAUGUAAGCUUACGAUGGAAGAUACUCUGGGUGUUUAUGGAGCUAGAGAGGGCAAAAGCUCUCUUCAAAAUUCUCCCAUUCCGCAAUUCUCUGUUAUAUGUAUAUACGUGCACACCUAUGCUUGCAUUUUCUUUUGUUUUAUUGUGAUCGUCUUUUGUAUCUGUAAGUUACCUUAAUUGCUGCUAAUGUACAUGUUCCGUCAUGCGUGACUAGAAUAUUCCGUGCUCCAUUUAGGUAUCGGCUUUCGGUUGGCGCUCAACUUCGGAUCCCGUCCAACGCAUUCUCUUCAGAGCUGGUCGCUGCCUCCUCCACCCAUGGCGGCAGUGGGACGCAAUGGUGGACCAUCCUGUUGAUCCCGAGAAGCAAACUGCUUCCGUCAAAGCAGAUAAUCCACCCCUGAAGAUGCAAAUAUGCUCAAGGCGACGAGACUAGACAGUGAAACUCAGCGGCUGCAAUCUCAGUUGCUUUCACUUUUCUGGAGUUCCCUGAAAAUAUUUUCGCGGAGCGCUUCAGAGAACACAUGGCAAAAGACAUUGGGAAAGGGACAAUUGAAAAUCUUUCUUUUUCCAAUGAAGUUGCCAACCUUUUGUGAGAAGGAAGAUGGACCGCGCAACCGUACCAGGAUUUAAUUCGUUAAUUAUCAUUUAAUGCCUUGUUAUCUACACGUACGCCUUGCGCAGAGUCUCAUUUUCUUCUUUGCCAUCUCAAUCAUCUGACUUCGCUUGCAUUCUUGUGACAUGACAGCCAAAGCGUUUUUAUUUAUUUAUUAACAUUUAGGCUCUGUUUUUUUUUUAACCGUUUGUUCAAAGGAAAUAGUUUCUUGAUUAACGGAAAAAAUUUUCAGCAUUUGACUCGUGUAGAAAAAUCAGUCAAUGGAGAAAGGGCAUGUACUGUUUAUUGAUGCUCUCUUCUCGGGCGAUUCCGGCACUGUUUUUGCGAUCCGUCAGGUGCUGAUGCCACGCAAGUUGACCGACGGUUGGGGCCGUUUUUUCGUGGCAAGAGGUGCAAUUUGCAGCUCUUUAAACCCCUCCGCCUUGUAGCCUGGUACGUCUCUUUUUCGUGGGCUUCCUGGUGUGCGAUGGGUUAGGGUUCCUUGAGUUCUGUUGAUUGUUCUUGCUGUCAUGGAAUCCGAAUUAGUUCGGGCCCUUUCAAGUGAUGAAGGGCCGAGCAAGCGAACCUCUUUCCCUCCUGAUAUUGGUAGACCCACGGUGGUUGACAAUCGUGUGAAUGCUCAAGGUCGAAUGGCCCCGAUUCCUUUAGGUGGUGUCGCAGGGCCUCGACAUCCUUCUGGCUUUGCGAGAGGCCGCAAUAGCAGUAGGGGUAGAUCCAUAUCAAAGCGACCUCAGCCUAGGGGUGCUUCGAUUAAGCCUGCUCCUCGCUCGUGGGCUGCUGUCGCAAGUAGUGCGAAUAAGGGAUACGAUAUGGAAUUCACUCAUCUGCACUUUGACAGCAAUGAACCUGUUAUUCAGAUGGAUGAAAUGGAUUUGGAAGCUGCAAACCCCAAGUUAUUUGAUUGUCUUGUGGGUUACUUCAUAGGAAAGAAGCUGCCUUUUAAAGUUGUUGAUGAUGCUUUGAGAAAAGCAUGGGGUCCGGCAUUGCUGGAAGUUAUGUCGAACAGCCGCGGGCUGUUCUUAUUGCGAAUUGCGGAUAGGGAUUUCAGGAGGAAGAUCUCGGAAGGAAGUACGGUUACUGUCGCAAGAAUCCCUUUAAUCCUUCAGCAAUGGAAACUAGGAAUCGAGUUGAACAAAGAUUCUCUCCAAUUUGUUCCGGUUUGGGUGAGAUUGAAAAACUUACCCUUCUCCUUCUGGUCUGCUCAUUCCAUUGGAAAGGUGGCGAGUGCUCUCAAGAAACCUCUAUGUAGAUGAGAAAACUGAGCAGAUGGAGAUGCUAACUUUUGCCCGGGUGUGCGUGGAAAUAACAGUGCAGCAGCCCAUCUAUGAGACCAUUCAGCUGGUAACCAUGGGGAAAUCGGUUGUAGUGGAUGUCAAAUAUGAAUGGAAGCCAAUGGCCUGUUUAAAGUGCGGAAUCUUCGGUCAUAAAUGUAAAGUUUCUGAUAAGGAAUCGGUUCCAAUCCAGUCGGAUGAUGGUACCAAGGAUGUUGAACCCGCGUAGGUGAAUGAAGCGGGGUCGCAUUUGGCAAAAGGUAAGGAGGUGGCUUUUCCAUCUGCUUUUGGUAGGGAAAUUUCUACUGUUGCUACUAAGGAUCCUCAGCCUGGUAACAGGUCCACCCAUGUUGGAGAGUCCAGUUCGCCAGCAGGAAACUCACUCAACGCUCAGGAACAAUUGUCGUUCCAUCCUACUAACUGUUCCACCCUUGCUGAAUCUGAAUCUGCUUCGGGAGAUAUGGAAUGGAAACAGGUUAAGCGAAGAAUUAAGAGGCAGAAGAAGAAGGCGGCAAACACAGGCUGCUGCAGCUGCAGCUACUACUGUUUCUUUGGACUUAUUCCUUCCUAUUGAUGAGGGCCAAGUCCUGAAACGGAAGGACAUUGAUCUGGAGGAGCCUUGCGAGAAUUCUGAGCCUGUCCGUGAAAGAUCGAACUUGCCUGCCCCGAUCGCCCCUUCAGUUGAUGUUCCUCUGGCCUUGUCAGAAAGCUCUGAUGAGAUCUCUAACUUGAGUAUCCAUGACGACGCUAGUGAGGAUGAGGUGCAGUCGGUCGGGAAACCUGUGCCGAAAGGAAAACCUCCUAUACUUCAGGACCAGCUACUGCGUCUUUGUCCUGAACCUCCUCCUUCUGUGGUUCCUACGCCUGCCAUAGGAAAGAGGACCUCUAGGAAGAGGUAAUUCUGAUCCUUGCUCUGGUUUUUUGAUGAGUAUCGAUUUUUGGAAUAUCAGAGGCAUGCUCAAUCCUCUUAGGCGGGCUAAAGUCAGGCGGUUUGCCGCUGUAAAUAAGCUGUGUUUUAUUGGUCUUUUUGAAACUAAAGUGCCUGAGGAUCUUUUUGAUUCAGUCUCUUCCACCCUUAUUAGGGGUUGGAAUUGGAUUUCUAACUAUGAGUUUUCCCCCCGGGGGAGGAUCUAGGUUGGAUGGAACCCGGAUCUGGUUUCCUAUUCGUCUAUCUCUAUCAGUGAUCAAGCUGUGCAUGGUUCUCUUAAGUUUAAUUUUUUUUUUCUGAAUUGCUAUGUCUCGACUGUAUAUCGGGAACACUCAUUCCCUUGCCGUCGGCCUUUGUGGGAGGAUCUCAUUCAUUACAGUAACAUCUUUCAAAAUUCUCUUUGGUUGGUUGCCGGUGAUUUUAACGCAAUAAAAGAGCCUUCUGAUCGUAUGGGUGGUUCUACCAACUGGAUUUACUACUUUGAUGAGUUUGCUCAGUGCUUAGCUCAGGCUGAGCUGAUGGAUCUCAGGUAUGUUGGAUGCCGUUUUACCUGGUCUACCUCAGCAGGUGAUGCGAGGAAGAUGAGGAAAAUAGACCGUGUCCUUAUAAAUGGAGAAUGGAAUCUCCAAUUCUCCUACUCUGAGGCAUCGUUUCUUAAUCCGAGGAUAUCGGAUCAUUCACCUAUGAUAGUCAGGAUUACGCAGCCGGCUCAUAAGGGGAAGCCCUUUAAGUUUUUUGAUUUAUGGACUCACCACCCAGAUUUCAAGGCCAUUGUUCAGCAGGUUUGGACCAGUCCGGUGAUAGGCGUACCAAUGUUCCAAUUAGUCUCGAAGCUGAAGAUGUUGAAAGCUCGGCUAAGGUCUCUUAACCGUGAGGCCUUCUUCGAUAUUUCAGUCAGAGUUGCCGAGGCUAGGGAGGCUCUGAGGAUCACCCAACUAGACCUCCAAUCUGACCUGACAAGCUCUGUUCUUAUUCAAGAGGAAAGAGAUCAGCGCCGAGUCUUCGUUGAGCUCAGGAACCAAGAGGAAUCCUUCUUUAGUCAAAAGUCUAGAAUCAAAUGGUUAAAGGAAGGUGAUAAAAAUACCAAAUUUUUUGAUCAAUCGGUGAAGAGAAGGCAGUUAUCUAAUCGCAUCCUCUUCAUUAAAGAUCCUACGGGUUCUAUUAUUACUGAUCCGGUUUUGGUUCCUCAAGUGUUCGUCAGGUUCUUCUCAGAUCUCUUAUUUCCGGAGCAGGGACUAGUCAAGCCGUCCCUGGAUGAGGUGAAUCAGUUUGUUCGCCAGCCUCUAUCCCAGGAUCAAAUAUGCUCCCUGUGUGUGCCGGUUACGGAUUCGGAAAUUAAGAACACUCUCUUUUCGCUGGCUAAGGGUAAAGCUCUCGGGCCGGAUGGUUUUUCGGUGGAAUUCUAUAAAUCCAGUUGGGAUAUUGUUGGCCCUUCAGUGCUGCAAUCGGUACAUGAUUUCUUCAUAAAUGGCCGGUUUCUAAAAGAGGUAAACGCCACCUUCUUAGCUCUCAUUCCUAAAGUGUCUAAUGCUAGUGCGGUUGUUGAUUUUAGACCUAUAGCAUGUUGCAACACUAUUUAUAAGGUGCUCACGAAAAUUUUAGCUAAUCGAAUAGCAGCAGUUCUUGGUGAUUUGAUUAGCCGGUCCCAAAAUGCGUUUAUAAAGGGAAGAAGAAUUAGAGACAAUAUCCUUUUGGCGUAGGAAUUAUUUGCAGGGUUUCAUCUUCAACCGUAUUUGCCGAAAUGUGCCAUUAAAGUCGACUUCCACAAGGCUUAUGAUACCGUUGAUUGGGAGUUUCUUGAGCUUGCUUUGGAAGCUUUCUGGUUUCCUCACCAUUUCAUUUAUCUAAUUAUGGCCUGUGUUCGGACACCUAGAUAUUCUAUAUCUAUCAAUGGUGAUCUUCAUGGCUUUUUCCCGGGGGGGAGGGGUCUUAGGCAGGGGGAUCCGAUGUCUCCUUACCUUUUUACAUUGGUAAUGGAAAUGUUUUCGGGGAUCUUGCUAUCUCGCACUGCAAAUCCAGACUUUAAGUACUAUUGGAGAUGUAAGCCGGUCCAUCUCUCCCAUUUGUUUUUUGCCGAUGAUGUUUUUCUUUAUUGUCAAGCCGAUUGGCAUUCUGUUGUUAUAUUGAAAAGAGGGCUCGAUAUUUUCUCCUCUUGGAGUGGUUUAGUUCCCAAUAAGAACAAAAGUGAGAUUUUCAUGGCUGGUGGUGAUACGUCCAUUAGGAACAGAAUCUUAUGGGCGUUUGGCUUUCAGGAGGGGAAGCUCCCGGUUCGCUACUUAGGUGUUCCGAUUAUCUCUUCUAGAUUAACCAGGGUAGACUGCGUUGCUUUGACUGAGCGGAUUACCGCUAGAAUCCAAUCCUGGACACAUCGUUUUCUAUCUUUUGCAAGUAGGCUACAGCUCAUAAAAUCGGUUCUCCACUCUAUCCAAGCAUUUUGGACGAGUGUAUUCACUCUUCCCUUUUCGGUUUUGGCCGAUAUCAAUAGGAUAAUGAGGCAAUUCUUAUGGAAAGGUGCAUCCCUAGGUCGGGGUGGUGCAAAAGUUGCAUGGGAUGAAGUAUGUCUACCGAAAGCUGAAGGGGGUCUUGGUAUUCGGAAUCUCAGGGAUAGUAAUAGAGCCUCCAUGGUAAAAUUCAUUUGGAUCCUAUUCUCAGACAAAGAAUCCUUGUGGUGCCGUUGGGUGCAUUCAAUUUUCCUAAAGAAAAGGAAUUUCUGGAUCUCCUCUCAGCCUAGGACUUGUUCCUGGUCAUGGAAGAAAAUUCUUCAACUUAGACCCUAUUUUCGUUCAUCCUUCAGGUGGGUGAUAGGCAAUGGUUUCUCUGUCUCUCUUUGGCAUGAUUCUUGGCUUCCUUGUGGCCCUUUAGAUGGAUUUGUUCAUCUUUCAUUCAGGGAAGGCGUACACCUCCCUGAUUGUGCAAGUGUGGCCGACCUGUUUUCCCCGCUGGGAGACACGCUCAGAAAUUUCUUAGAGAGAUGGGCAAUUACUCUUCCAUCUUUAUCAUCGAUGCUUGACAGGUUUAUUUGGUGUUGCGAGUCAUCCGGUUCCUUCUUAGUUGCCUCGGCCUAGGAAUCCAUCAGAGUUAAAAGAACUCCUAUCAAGUGGGCCUCUCUGGUUUGGGACAAUGCACUGGCCCCUCGGUAUCAAUUUAUUUUGUGGCUUAUAUCGAGGAAUCGCAUUCCUACACAGGUGCUGCUUCUAUCUUAUGGCAGAAUAGAUUUCAAUGUUUGUGCCUUUUGCAGUGAUGUUCCCGACUUUGUUGAUCAUUUAUUCUUCGGGUGUCGUAUCCUGGCUCCUCUGGCCUGUUUUUGGGCCGCCGGGUGUAACAUUCCUUGGAGGAAUAGAUGCUGGAAAGAUAUGAUUGCCUGGGCUAUGAAGUUCCUUAUGGGAAAGGAUUUCUAUCACAGGAUUGUUCGGUUCUCUUUUGGAGCCUUGUGUCAUUUGAUUUGGAAGAAGAGGAAUGCAAUUAUCUUCCGUGGUGAGUCAGUGGUGAUUCUUGCUCUCAAAAAUCACCUCCUUAAGGUGGUUAGGGACAAGGCCAAUUCCUUUACCAAUGUCCAACCUUCUCCGAGAAAUGAUAGACUUCAAAGGGCAUGGGGAUUCGAUCUAGCGGUCUUCUUUGCUUGUUGAUCUUGUAGUCUCUGCCUUUUCCUAUUUCUUCUGGUACUCCGUUCUUAGCCAUUGUUGGUAGGGCGGAUGUUUGCCGUUGGCCUAUAUGGCUGUUUUUUCUUAUCUUAGUGCCUUUGGGGCUUUCGGUUGUUUCAUCUUUUACAUCGGUUCCCCUCCACUCUUAGCUCUUUGAGAGUGUAGGUUAUGGACCCAAUCUUUUGUACUUGUCCUUUCCCUUUCCUUUUAUUUAAUUACCUUUACCAAAAAAAAAAAUCAGUCAAUGGAAAUAGUUUCCUGAUUUAAUGAAAAAAUUAUGCAUAAAUUAGGAAAAUGGUAUGACCAAAAAAAGGAAAUUUAGAAAAUUGAUUUUAAAAAAAAAUCGAAAAUCAUUAUAAAAUAAUGACUAGAUAUCGAUGUUUGAAUCAGAAAUUCAGUGCUUGGACAUCGGAAUCCUAACACUCAUUCUUAGAUACUCGUGGCUUGGGCUCAUGGCUUGGGCCUGUGACCCUAGUCCACCCGCCUAGGACUUGGUCCCUAACGUCCAGACCGGGGUCACCUGUGCCCUUGCCUAGGUCUAGGUUGGGCCCAAGAACCUGGUGUCGGUGCUUGGGUCUCCAACGCUCAUGCCUAGGUCCAUUGAAGUCAGGCUUGAGGCCCCACUGUUGUGCUUGUUGCCUUGAUACUAGAGCCAGAUCCAUAAAGACUGAGGGUAGGACCUCAAUACCUGUGCUCGGGUCCCUAGUUCCCGUGCACAAAUUCCCUCGUACUUAAAGCUAGGUCCAUCGAGGCUGAGGUCCAAGACCCUAGUGUCGAUGCCCCGGUCCAUCGAGGCUACCCUUGAGACCUUGGUGCCCAUGACCAAGUCCCUAGCGCCCGUGCUCGAGUCCAUUGAGGCUGAGCUUGGGACUUGGUGGCCCAGUGCAAGUCCACAAAGGCAGGGCUCAGUACCCUAAUGCCUAUGCUUGGAUCCCCCAUGCCUAAGCCUAAGUCCAACAAGAUCGAGGCCCUAGACCCCGGUGUCUGCGUCCAUCAAGGCUAGGCCUGGGACCCGAUUCCCGUGCUUGGGUCUUCAGCGCUUGAACCUAUGUCUAUCGAGACCAAGCUUGGGACCUCGGUACCCAUGCCUAGGUCUAGCCUGGAUGGAGCUGAGCUUGGUCAUUGAGGACCCACGCUUGGUCAUCAAGCACCCAGGAAUAGGCAACGGCGUCUUGAGGGCAGCCUCGAUGGAUCAGGACUUGAGUGUUGAGGACUUGAGCUCGAGUAUCGACGACCCAGGUCAUCGGGUUCCUCGCUUAGUCCUUGUGGAACCAAGCUCAGGUAUUGGGGAUUCGAGCACAAGCACCAGUGCGUCAAGAAGUUGUGCAUGGGCAUCAAGUUCUCGAUUCGGCUUAUAUGGAUGUGAAAUUGGUACUUGCACUCUUGCUUGGGACCAAGUGGCCUUACAUGGGUCCCUGGUGCUUGGGUUGGGGUUCAUCAAGGUUGGACUCAGGAUCCUGGUUCCUCGGUUAUCCAUGCGCAAGUCACAAGCACCCCAAUAGUAUAUAUGUAUUUAGGAAACUCAAAUCAGAUUUUCUUGUCCAAAAUUCGUUUUAAAGAUUUUUGUCAAACAUCGGAAAAAGUUGCCAUUUCCCUGGAAAAUAAUUUUCCAAAACAGAAAUAUAACAUUUUUCGUGAAUCAAUAAGGCCUAAAUAUCUAACCCCCAAAAAAAAAGAAAAAAGAAAAAGAAACACAGAGCCUAAGUACAUUUAGAGUACCUCGAUGUCUUAUGGUCAUGUCUAUUUGAAAUGGAUUAAUAUCAUAAAAAUUCUGCAAACUGAUAUAUUUGUAUCAUAUUUACUUCAAAUUAAUUGUUAUGUCACAAAAAAUUCGAAAUAGGUACAACAUUUGCCUCAAAUUAAUUUUUAUGUUAAAAAUCCCAAAUUAGUGUGCCUCGACCACAUUUAUCCCAAAUAUAUUUUCGCGUCACAAAAAAUUAUACACCAGAACGCUAGUGUCAAAUCUACCCUUCCGUAAAUUGGGAAAUUUGUUAAAAUCUGCUAACUUUGCUCUCGAUCUCAAUUCAUUUUCUUCAUUUCUGGUUUCUUCAAGUCUGCGUGUGACGUGAUUCGACGAAGAUUCGCAAAAGACAGAUUUCUGCCAAUUGGGAAAUUCUAAUUGUUUGUCCAAAGCCCUUCUUCUUUCUUGGGCUUGGUCGUGACACGGGUCGACAAGAAAAUUUCUAAAGAAAAGCACGUCGGCAAGUUUAUCUUCGCUAUAAGGAGACGCAAUCAAAGCUAUUCAAAAGGGUUUUAACGUAACCCCCUAACUAAAACUACGGCAAAACUAAUUUCAAAUCAUGUCGUGCGGCCUAAAUAUAUUUCCUUUGUUUCACAGCGUCCGUGUUCAAAUUCAGAGGACCGACGCAUACUUUACCAAAAAAAUUGUAACUUUUCAUAGUCUUUUCAGUAUUUAGAUAAUAUCAUGUGUGUCAUAUUUAUUCUUACAUAUAUGCUAAGGCAUACUAGAAGGGAGAUAACUUCGAUUAGACCUAUGACCUACUUCAGUAAAGAGCACCUGACAAUUUGGAACUCUUUCAUUUUACCCUUCCGCAGUAUAAAUUGACUCUAUGGGUCGGUUGUGUCAACUUUAUGGUUGAUUAGUUCCCGUCCUAUUUGAUAUUAUUCAUAGGGAGAAUUGUUUGUUUCGACACCCCCUUCAAUACGAUGAUUUGCGUGAAGGGGGAUCCUGUCCAUUGUCAAACUGCUCAGUAGCGCAGCAGUAGCUGCAAAAGAAACUAGCUGAGGAGACUACGAUAAAGAAAUCCACAUCGGUGAUUACGGCUAGAGAUGCUGGAUAUUUUUUGUUUUGUUCACAUGCAGCAUAACUCAAUCAGACUCGUUCGUUUGCAGAGGCGCCUCUACUUGACAUUCUCACAAGGUUACCCCAGACGACAUUUUGCUUGUGCAAUCCGCUGCACGGGUAUGCGGUGAUGAAAGUCACGGAUUGCUGGCACAUUGUAUAGAAAUUUUUUGUGAGAUCUGAUCUCGAAACUGUAACUUUAGAGAAAGGCUUGCCUCAUGACAGAAAAGAGAACGAAGCUUUGGGAAAGUGUUUCACUGUGUAUUCUGUAUAACAUUACAAUAUACAUUUAUAAUGUAAGAAAGGAAUAGGAAAAAGAAUAAAAUAGGAAAAACAAUAUACAUGAAUAUAUAAUUUCCUAUUUACUAUUCUAAUCAGAAGAUCUAAUAGAAUCGGAAUCAUCUCUAAGAUCUUCCAACACUCCCCCUCAAGCUGGUGGCCUAUAUAUGUCGAGGACACCUAGCUUGCUCAACAAAAACUUGUGUUGUCUUUGACAUAACGGCUUAGUGAAAAUAUCUGCAGGUUGAUUCACUGUUCCGAUGCCCUUUGUUAUGAGAACUCCCUCUUUGAUCUUGUCGCGAGUGAAGUGGCAAUCAACUUCUAUGUGUUUUGUCCUCUCAUGAAAAACCGGAUUUGCUGCUAACUUAAGUGCAGCAUCAUUAUCACAAAACAAUUCACUUGCUCCACUGACCUGUAUUCCCAAGUCCAAAAGAAGUCCUCGUAUCCAUACUAUUUCACAAGUAGCUUUUGCCAUGGCUCGAUAUUCUGAUUCAGCUGAUGACAAUGAUACGGUGGACUGCUUCUUUGUCUUCCACGAGAUCAAUGACUUUCCCAAUUUAACACAAAAACCAGUGAUAGAUCUUCUAGUCAUCGGGCAUGUAGCAUAAUCAGUGUCACAAUAAGCUGUCAUCCCCAUAUCACAUUCACGAGACAAAAAUAUACCGAGCCCUGGACAUCCCUUCAAAUAUCUUACUACUUUUAAGGCUGCAUUCAUGUGUGACUCUUUUGGCAUAUGCAUGAAUUGGCUGAGUAUAUGUACGGCAUAACAUAUGUCAGGUCUUGUCAUGGUAAGAUAUAUCAGCUUUCCAACAAGUCGCUGAUAUCCUGACGGAUCCCUGAGUAACGGAUCUUUGUUUGAUGUAGAAGAAUGAAGAUCAUACUCGCGUGUCGUCAACUUGACAUUCUGUUCAAUGGGAAUUACUGCUGGCCUGCAUCCUGAUAAUCCAGCCUCAGAAAUGAUUUCCAAGACAAAUUUCCUUUGACUGAGAGAAAUUCCUUUAUCAGUCCUGGCAAUUUCAAUGCCAAGAAAGUAUUUGGGAGGUCCCAAAUCCUUGAUGUGAAAAGUGGAGUGCAGAUAUUCCUUAAAUCUUGCAACAUGGGAAUCAUUGUUUCCCAUGACUAAUAUGUCAUCAACAUAUAUUAGCAAAUAAAUUGAUGAUUUUCCCACAUUUCGUAUGAAUAAAGCAUGAUCAUGCUUGGAAUGUUGGAAACCUGCAUUGGUUAAAGCAGCAGUAAACUUGGCAUACCACUGUCUAGAUGCCUGUUUUAAUCCAUAUAAGGAUUUACGAAGACGACAUACCCGAUACUCCCCCUGUCUACGUAAUCCUUGAGGAAGAUCCAUGUAGAUCUCUUCAUCUAAAUCACCAUGAAGGAAUGCAUUGUGGACGUCCAUUUGAUGCAAGGACCAAUUGCGAAUUGCUGCAACAGAUAAAAAAGACCGGACGGUAACUUCCUUCGCAACUGGAGAGAAUGUUUCGUGAUAAUCGAAACCUUCUUUUUGAGUGAAGCCUUUGGCUACCAACCUAGCCUUGUAGCGUUCUAUGGAACCGUCAGAUUUAAACUUGAUCUUAUAAACCCAUUUACAUCCUAUUGGUUUCCGAUGCGAUGGUAAAGGAACAACAUCCCAAGUAUGAUUCUCCAUGAGUGCAGUAAGUUCGGAUUCCAUUGCACGCCGCCACUUAGGAUCUUUUGUUGCCUCGGUGAAUGAAGAUGGCUCGUGUUCUUCAGAGAUUCGACUAAUACAAAUCAUAUGUUCUCCUGAUAGUUGAUUGAAGGAAACAUAGGAUGAAAUUGGAUAUUGUGUACCUGAAGAGUUUGCAGCAGAACAGAUAUAGUCUUUCGUCCAUGUAGGUGGGUGAGUCUGUCUUCCAGAACGACGAGGUAGAUCAACCAUAUUUUUAGAGGUCAUGGAUGAUUCAGCAGCCAUUGCUGUUGUGUCUUCUGCUGAAGUAGAUGAGAAAACUUCCUCUGAUGAAGCUGGUAAUUCCAUCUCCGAAUUUGAGAAUGCUGGUGGUGCCGUAGCCAUAGGGGUUGGAGAUGUCAUAAGAAAACCAGAUGCUAAUGAGAAAUCUUCAUCAGUCAAGAGAAAUCGAUUGUUGUCUGAUGAGUUGUCUUGUGAUGAAGAGUGCUUCUCUUUGAAUGGGAAUGUGUCUUCAUGAAAAAUAACAUCUCUACUAGUAAAGAAAUCCCCUGUAGAAAGCUCCAUAACAUGAUAACCCUUUUGAAGAGAAGGGUAUCCCAUAAAAACACAUCGUGUUGCACGGGGGCUCAUUUUAUCACGAGAACCCACAGUUGUUGCAUAACAUAAACAACCAAAUACUCUAAGAUGGCUAUUAUCUGGCUGUCUCUUGUAAAGCAUCUCAAAGGGAGUUUUACCAUGAAGAAUUCGACUUGGCAUGCGAUUAAUCAGAUAGGCAGCUGUGACCACACAAUCUCCCCAAAAUUCUUCAGGAAAUGAGGCUUGAUAUUUAAGGGCACGGGCUACUUCUAAGAGAUGUCUAUGUUUUCUUUCUACAACCCCGUUUUGCUGUGGAGUAUAAGUACAAGAACUCUCAUGAAGUAUCCCAUGAGUAGACAACAAAGUUGCACAAUCAGAAGUAAAAAAUUCUCGCCCAUUAUCUGUACGAAUUCGAUGUACAGAUUUAUUAAAUUGAUUCCUAAUGAAGGAAAGGAAAUUUGAUAAAUGAGUAAAUGUCUGACUCUUGGAUUGCAUAAGAUAUAGCCAAGUGGCCCGACUAUAGUCAUCAACGAUUGUAAGAAAAUAGCGAGAUCCAUCGCGAUGAGAAGUAUGGUAGGGACCCCAGAUGUCCAUGUGAAGCAAUGAAAAAGGGUUUUUAGCUUGAGAUGUACUAAUAGGAAAAGAUGCUCGAGUUUGUUUAGCCAAAGGGCAUAUGGGACAUUUUGGAUGGGGAAAUCGAGCACUGUGACCCAAUCGUUGAUGCAAAAGGAGAUUUUUAUUAUAACUAAUUGCAUUACAAUAAAUGCCUUUAUUCAAUAAUUCUAAAUCUCCUAGAGAAUUGACCCAAAAAUAGAGUCAUUGUGCCUCUUUACCCAAGCCCAUCACUCUGCCAGUCGAAAGGUCCUGAAAGACACAAUUUUUGGAAUUGAAUAUGGCUUUGCAGGAAUUGUCCAUACAUACUUUUGCGACAGAAAUAAGAUUAAACUCAAAAUCUGGAAUGUAUAGGACAUUUUUAAGGACAAUGUUUUGACCAAGAUGUACGGUGCCGAUUUUGGUAACAUUCAUAAUGUUUCCAUUUGGAAGACGUACCGUAAUAGGAGACUGUGUGUUUUGAUGAGCAUGAGAAAUUAGGUACUCGUUACAGACUAUGUGGUCACUUGCGCCUGAAUCGAUAAUCCAUGCAUUAAUAGAUAAUGAAUUCAUUUCAUGGGGAAAAAUACCUGAAAUCCUGCACCAUUAUCACCAGUCUUGAGCUGACUCAAAGCUUGCACAAUAUUUUCAUAUUGUUCUUGAGUGAUAGUCUGCUGAGAUGUUCCACCACUCCUCUGCGUAGAUACCUGAUAGACUGAAGACUCCUUUUCCUUUUUAUUGCUGGGUCUCCCAUGCAAUUUCCAGCAUGUGUCGACAGUGUGGUGUGGACGUUUGCAAUAUUCACAAUAUUUAUUUUAAACUUUGAAUUUUGCCCACUGACCUUGCCUGCUGACGUGGCAUUUCGUGUGCCGUACGAUGCUUUGUAUACUGGCGCUGACGUGGCGAAAUAUCGACCGUCUGAUUCAACCGGAUAAUUCAUCAAUUUGUAGCCGUCCGAUCCAGCGUGUCUCCCUCGACCGUCAGAUCCAGCGAGACGAUCCCAGCCGUUCGUUAGGAAAAAAUGAUCCGGGCCGUUUGAUCCAGCGUGUUUCCCUCGACCAUCAGAUCCAGCGAACUUAUCCAGACCGUCCGAUUGAGCGUGACGAUCCCAGCCGUCCAUCCGUGAAGACCUAGGGUAAUCUCCAUCACUUCUCGCAGCCGCAGCCGCAGCUGCAAACCCUUUUCCUCUCGGUUGUCCUGUGGCGCCGAGGUUUCCUCCGGUUCCAUUGAUGUUUUCAGUCGAGACGAAGCCCGAGGGAAACGCCGCGAAGCCCAUUCCUUCAGCAAUCCGACCAUGUUCAGUCGUGGCGGCUCUCUGAUUUUCCUCCUGCACGGCCAAUUGGAAGAUUCGGCCGAGAGGAGGUUGAGGGUCCAUCGCAAGAAUCUGCGAUCAAAAGGCGGUGUAUGAGUCGUUUAAGGUAAGAAGAAAUCUGGUGGCUUUCUCCUUUUCUCUCAUCGCAUAAAAUUGUCGGAGAGUGGCUUCCGGCCCCUCCAACUUGUCUUCGGCUGCUUCGAUUUCAUUCCACAGAGACGACAACCGGUUGAAACAGGCGGUAACCGAGAGGUUCCCCUGUUUUAGCUCGGUUAGGGUUUGUGUCAACGAGAAUAGCCUAGCCCUGUCUGAUUUCCCGUACAUCUCCUGUAUCUUAUCCCAGUAUUUCUUCGGAUCUUCUGUCGGAGGAAGACCGGCGGCGACAUCCGGCGCCAAGCAGUUUCCGAUCCAGGUGCGCACCAAUUGAUUGCAACGCCGCCAAUGCCUCUGCUGUCUUUCAUCCGUCGGGCAAGGUAAGGUUCCGUCGAUGAAUUCUUCCUUAGUUUUAGUAACGAGUGCUCGCCGGAAAUCGCGAGCCCAAGAGUGGUAGUUCGCCGGUCCGGUAAGCUGUUGGGUGAUUAGGCGUAACUCCGGGCCGUCUGCCGGUGACGUGUAGAGCGGAUCUCCGAGCUCCGGCCGGCCGCCGUUGAAUGGGAACAGAUACGGCGGUCCGUGUGAAACCAGGUAGGGCUCAAUUCCUUGACCCGGCAUGAACCCGGGUCCCGGCAUGAAUCCGGGUCUGUGACCCGCAGUCGUUUGACCCGACUCGCCAGUCGGGUGGGUUCCAUAUGGAUACUGGCCCCACUGUGCGGGAUACCAUGGAGCUGGAGGCCAGUAAGUUGGCCCCGGAAUCUGUACUGGAGCAGGGGCAGGGGUGGAGACAUUAGUCACCUGCUCUUCUCCAGUCGAUCCGUCUCGAUCAAAAGAUGAAAUUUGCUGAUCCUGGGUUGAUGAAUCUUCUGCUGAGGGAUUCAUAACGUUCUUGUCCUUUGUCAUGAUAUUGAGAAUGAAUUCCUAAUCGUUCUUUCAAUUUGUUCUGCAGAAAGGAAUGCACAGCAACAAAUCAAAGAGAGGAACGAUGGCAAUUCAGAAGGUUGCGGAAGCUAGGGCAGGAAGCGAAGGCUCUGAUACCAUGACAGAAAAGAGAACGAAGCUUUGGGAAAGUGUUUCACUGUGUAUUCUGUAUAACAUUACAAUAUACAUUUAUAAUGUAAGAAAGGAAUAGGAAAAAGAAUAAAAUAGGAAAAACAAUAUACAUGAAUAUAUAAUUUCCUAUUUACUAUUCUAAUCAGAAGAUCUAAUAGAAUCGGAAUCAUCUCUAAGAUCUUCCAACAUGCCUCAUGCUAUCUUUGACGAAGGAGCGCUAUACCACUCUGGAUGAUGCAUAUGCACUUCACUAUGCCUGAGCAUACUGUGAUCCGGAGACCAUGACCGGAACUUCUUGAUCUCGGAAUUGCCGAUGUGAAUAGUAGAAAUGCAAGAGGCUUCACAGUUUUGCACGUCGCUGCGAUGAGGAAAGAGCCAAAGAUUAUAUUGGCUCUCCUCACGAAGGACGCACAGCCUUCUCAUCUCACUCUGGAUGUUAGAAAAGCUCCACCUAUGUAAGAGGCACACAAAAGCUGCAGACUGCUUGGAGUCUAUCGAGCAAGGAAAGCCUUCGCCGAAAGAUAAAAAUUACAGUCAAGAUACUGGAACAAGCCGAACGAAGAGAACCUUGGAGAAGCAUCCUUUGCUCUUGCUACGGCAGGCGAUGAUCUACGAAUGAGAUUGUUGUAUCCUGAAAAACAGAGGUAAGAUACUUGGAUUCUAUUUGUUCCUCCUCGACUUCAGUGGUCCUUUUUUAAGAUGCAGAUUGAGAAGCCGAGUUUCUUUUCCUCGCAAUACCAUCGGUUAUUAAUAAAAGUGCAUGUACCUAUGAAGAACCUGCAUGUAAAUAGCCUCCUUGGAUUAAUUGCUAUCUCCCAAGAAGUUAUUUGUUUACAUAAAUGCUCUUUGCAAGCUCCAGCAUAUUAUUUGUUUAGCGCUCUUAGCGUUCCUUAUGGAGUCAUAGGUGGAAGGUGCAUUGGCAUUGAUCUCAGAUGUUCAUAUCGACAGAGCUGAGGUGCUUUGGAACUCAUUUGCCACUUUCUUCAUGCUAUCAAUGGCCAUCAUCUUACAAAUUUGUGGAGAGUGUGUGCGAACAAGAGAGAGAGUGACUUCUAAGAUGAGCUGUCUUGAAGCAUAUCUUAUGCAAACAGUCCCUUGUUAUAUAACCACUAGUCUGGUCGAGGCUCCAUUUCUUCCUUUGCAACUUGAAACUUUCUCAAUGAAAAAUUUCCAGUGUCUAGCAUGACAAUGAUCACAUUGAUUAUAUUAGGAUGACAACAAAGAUCUUGCGAGUUAUCCCCUUUUUAUGGUUUCAUUUAGGUGUUUGCUGAGUUCAAUGUUACCGGCUUAGCCUUUUUAGUUGGGUUCCUAGGUUAAUCUACGUUAUUUUCCUUGUUAUAUAUCCGCUUGAGUUUUGUGGCAAAUGGAUCAGUUGGCAGCAGAGGCAUCUGUUAACUUAUGUCAGUGCCUCCACCUUUUGCAAGAUAAAUUUUUCAGAUGAGUUGGUGGUUCAUUUCUCAUUUGAAGAACGAUCUAUGUGAUGCUGCUAGCCUCAAAACUAAGAAGCCAUAUCCCAUCUCUGAUUUAACCAAGUUAAAUAGGAUUUGGGAAAUAACUUUCCUUCUUUGCCAAAGGAAAUGAUGCAACUCAAGCAACUGAUACGUUGAUGCUAGAGGAAAGCUGAUUCUUGUGUUAAAAGAAACGGACAAAUUGGGUGAUUUCCAAUCAAGAUGCCCAGAUUUCUUAUGCUACUAGUUGUGACAUUCACGCAUACUUUACAAAAAAAUUGUUCUUGUUUUUUACUCACUUACCUGUUUCGGUAUUGUUCAUCGCCCAUCUUUCCUCCUGCAACUGAUAUUACUAAGAGGCGUUUGCUGUUACACAGGUGCAAAGCCAAUAGAAAAAAAAAAAAUCACAAAAUAUCUCAAAUUAUUUUUACCUCAAAUUUUUCUUUACGUCAUAAAAAAAAAUCCAACAUGAUAUUAUUAAUGGAUUCCAAAGGAAUUUGGAAAGUCUGGGGAUCAAAUAAGGAGACCGGGACCACCCAAUAUUUUCUCUCACAUAAGAAGGAUCCAUUGGUCUCAGCGGACCUUAAAAGAGCCCCGUGAAAGUCACAUAAAAAUUCCCUGGGCACGGGUCGGUGCCUCACCCCCGCCAUUGGCGGGAACGCGGUGCACAAGCGAGUAGAGGCAGCCUUCACACCUCGAAAAAUAUAGUGAUUGGGUUAAUUACCCGUAAGACUGGAUUUGAAUAGGUCCUUAAACAGCUUAAUGGAGAUAAAGGCGGGAGAACCGUCCUAGAGGUGGGAGAUCCCGUACUUACCUCCCCAUCCUCUCGGUCGAUUGGUUAAAGAUAAAUUGGAAAUUUGAGGGUUGCUGGGUGGUGAAGGUAGACACCAAAUAAGGGUGAAGAGACGCAAAUAAAUCCGCUGGAAAUGUCUGAUGUUGACUCAGGGCUUCUUGCUUAGAUUAAGACAGUACAUUAGGGAGUGACCCCUCUUUUCCGAAGGUUCAUGGAAGCUUUGUGCAUUCGUCUUGUCGGGCCCAUUUAUCUGUGUCUUUUUCCGCUCUCUCUGGUGAGAUCUUGUCUGAAUCUAGUACGAACCCACAAUAUCUGCGAGCGAUUUGUGUGCUCAAAGGGAGAAAAUAUUAGGUACCCUAACAGUGCCAUGCAAUCCGUGCUCUAAACCAUUCAGAACGUGACACCUGGACAAGUGUCAGUCCACAUCGGCUCCCUCGGCUCUCUCACGUCGUUCUAAUUUAAACCAGAGAAGGUUUUGCGUCUCCCAUCUCUCUCUUCAUUAAAUGCUUUAUCGUCCUCUGCACGCUUCUUCUCCCGCUCCUACGAAGAGUGCCCCUUUCUCUCUCUCUCUCUUUAAAAAAUUUCUCUCUUUUAUGCAUAUUUUUCUCCAUCAAAGCCGCAUGACGCCCGUCCUCUCUCUUUUUCAAAAAUCUCUCCCUCCCAAAAGCCCGCCCGUCGCCUCCGAGCUUGGCCGCCUUCGCCGUCGCCACCAGGAGCCACUCGCUCCCUCUCUUUCUCCUAAGAGCCCCGCCGGUCGUAGCUAGGUCUUGAGUUCGUUGCGGUUGCCUUGCGGUCCUAACUCCAGCUGCUCGGUUUCAUUUGGAGGAACGGCGGGCACGGACGGCGAUGAUUUGGUCGUCCUUGGUAUGGAAGCGAGCUGCGACGACACCGCGGCCGUUGUUGUGAACGAUCUCUUUCGCUCCUAAGAGCCGCGCCAGUCGUAGCUGCCGAGUCCCGACCUCGACCUCUGACCGCCUCCGCGUCUUGGUCGUGGUCGCCUCCGGUCCUAACUCCAGCUCUUCGGUCGAGGUUCGGAGGGUCUGAGGUGGGGAACAGCGAGGGGUUGGUGAGCUUGGAGAGGGACUUGAGAAGCCAGUUCUCGUCCUCCUCGAAGAAGAGCUUCGAGUCGGGGUUCUGCUGCUCGUCAGCCGACAGUGGUUGCUGGUCUAGGUGGAGGCUGGAGAAGAGGAGGCACGGCUCCCCAGCCGCGGGGACAUGCAGCCUGCCGGCUUCAAAAUCAAAAGAUCGGCACACCGCCUUCAAGACAAUCGGAAGAGUGUAAGAAUCCGGCGGAACGCCCGCCCUCGCCAUGAACGCGUACACGAGCAGCGUCUUUCUCGGGGCGUCUAGCCUCGCGUACGCUCUUAUGAUGUUCCAGUGGAACGCGACGGGAUUCGAGUCCAACAAGCGGGAGCGGAUCACGUGGGCGUGUAUCAGGCUCAACCCUCGCUUGUCACCGCAUUCGAACAAGAGGGUCGCCACCAUCUUGGCAUGGGCUUGGGUCGAGCUCAGCGAAUCGGGCUGCUGUCGAGAUUGCGCAAGGAGGGAAGCGAUGGAAGACGCAUUGGCUUCGUGGUGGCGACCCUCUUGUCCGAAUGCGGUGAUAAGCGAGGGUUGAGCUUGAUACACGCCCACGUGAUCCGCUCCCGCUUGUUGGACUCGAAUCCCGUCGCGUUCCACUGAACAUCAUAAGAGCAUACGCGAGGCUAGACGCCCCGAGAAAGACGCUGCUCGUGUACGCGUUCAUGGCGAGGGCGGGUGUUCCGCCGGAUUCUUACACUCUUCCGAUUGUCUUGAAGGCGGUGUGCCGAUCUUUUGAUUUUGAAGCCGGCAGGCUGCAUGUCCCCGCGGCUGGGGAGCCGUGCCUCCUCUUCUCCAGCCUCCACCUAGACCAGCAACCACUGUCGGCUGACGAGCAGCAGAACCCCGACUCGAAGCUCUUCUUCGAGGAGGACGAGAACUGGCUUCUCAAGUCCCUCUCCAAGCUCACCAACUCCUCGCUGUUCCCCACCUCGGACCCUCCGAACCUCGACCGAAGAGCUGGAGUUAGGACCGGAGGCGACCAUGACCAAGACGCGGAGGCGGUCAGAGGUCGAGGUCGGGACUCGGCAGCUACGACUGGCGCGGCUCUUAGGAGCGAAAGAGAUCGUUCACAACAGCGGCCGCGGUGUCGUCGCAGCUCGCUUCCAUACCAAGGACGACCAAAUCAUCGUCGUCCGUGCCCGCCGUUCCUCCAAAUGAAACCGAGCAGCUGGAGUUAGGACCGCAAGGCAACCGCAACGAACUCAAGACCUAGCUACGACCGGCGGGGCUCUUAGGAGAGAGAGAGGGAGCGAGUGGCUCCUGGCGGCGACGGCGAAGGCGGCCAAGCUCGAAGGCGACGGGCGGGCUUUUGGGAGGGAGAGAUUUUUGAAAAAGAGAGAGGACGGGCGUCAUGCGGCUUUGAUGGAGAAAAAUAUCCAGAACAGAGAGAAAUUUUUUAAAGAGAGAGAGAGAAAGGGGCGCUCUUCGUGCGAGCGGGAGAAGAAGCAUGCAGAGAACGAUAAAGCAUUUAAUGAAGAGAGAGAUAGGGGACGCAAGACCUUCUCUGGUUUAAAUUAGAACGACGUGAGAGAGCCGAGGGAGCCGACGUGGACUGACACUUGUCCAGGUGUCACGCUCUAAAUGGUUUAGAGCACGGAUUGCGUGGCACUGUUAAAGUACAUAAUAUUUUCUCGCUCAAAGGGUGUCCCGAAUGGAGACGAAAGUCUCUUAAGGCAGGCUUUAACAGGAGGACACCUGGCCUAGCUUGGGUGGUCAUUGGUACGAGCCACAUCUUCUAGUAAUUGAUGUUAGUCAAAGAUGCAAUGAAUGUGGUGGAUAAGCUCUCUCUUCGGAGGACACCUAGCCUAACGUGGGUCGUCGAAGGUCUGUCUCAUUGGAUGGAGAAUCGGCCAGAGCCCAUAGAGCCAGAUGGCAGUCUGUUUGUCUAGCGUAUAGAGCAAAUCUAGGUCGAAAGAUCAUCGGCCAGAGCCAGACAGCAGUCUGUCACAAGGUGCAAUAAUUCAAAGUGGGAGUUAGGAUGCCAAACGUCCGAUCUCGUACGACCCCACAAUCCAAAUGGGCUUUCAUAAUUUUUUCCCUUAAGCUGUUGUCUUGAAUUCUUUCAUGCCAAGCUUUUUUGCAGUAUCUUCAAAAGUCGCCUUUCCUAUUGCCUAGCUGUAAUCUUGUAGGCACGUAGCCUGGCUUUACAGGUCCUUGUUGCAUCUUAUCCGACAGGAUGAUGAUCGAAUUCGACGUAUCUUGUACGGUAAUUGGAAACUUGGUUUUGCUACAAUUUUCGUCGUAAUAUGCCUGGAAUUUCAAAUCAGUAUUUAAUGAUAGAAAAUCUCUGGACCGAUAGGAAAUCUUAAAUGACAAAUGCCCUUCUUUCGGUUUUUCAUAAAUUGAUUCAGCGCGUACAUUGAAAAACCCUUGAUCAUUUCAACUUUUGAGUUUUAUUGGGAAUUUUUUUUUUUUGGAACAAAGUUUUAUUGGGAAAUUACUAUCCUCCUUUAUAGUAUCUAACGUAUACUUCUUAUUGAUUAAAAGAAAUUUCUAAUUUUAUUUCAAGCAAUUUAAAUUUCUAAGAAUCACAAUCUUAAUUAGUAGAAAAAACUUUACAUGAUUCAUCCCGCAUCAUAUCGUAACAUUAUUAAACUUUGUAUAAGCUUUAUCCUAUCAUGUUUUAACUUUGUUUCGAGGGAGUAGAACUCCAAUGCUUAAACGUAUGCCCUUCAUCUAAUUUCCUGUAGUUUCAAUCGAUUGAAUGAUUACUACCAUUGAGUAAAGUAGUGUUCUCACUAAAAAGGUCCAAUUCCGGUGUCCCAUCAAUCAACUUCUUCCUUCUUGACAUGGGGAUGCUUGCAACAAGAGCCCAUGUUGGAUAUAGAGCAUAUAUAGAGUAAUUCUCGGUUGAAAACAUCGGGGCCAGAGCCAGACAGCAGUCUGUUGCGAUGUGUAACACAAUUUUCUUGCAAAAAGGAAGGAGAUUUUGUUUACGUUGACUACUUGAUUAAUCUCUAAUUGAAGCUUUUGCUUUAUCUUCUUAUGUGCAAAAUGUGAGACCAGCUCCAAAAAUUUUAACUUUGAGCGUUUGUCACUUCAUGAUAACAUAAAAUAUAGUAAAUAUUUGGGAACCAAGAGACUUCUCACUUGCAUGUAGUUCACUGCCAUUAGCAGUGUAUUUUCUCGUAGGGCACAAAUAACGUGCCUCUUCAAUGCAUGAAACUAAGGAUUAUGUUUGCCUAAUAUGUGUAGGGAUACACAUACAUCAUGCGCACUCUUGUUCCCCAUAGGAAGAAUUUGGGAUUAGUACCAUAAAAAAAAUCCUAAAUCGCCUAAAAAAAUUCAAACUGAUAUAUCUGUAAUAAAUUGAUAUGGAUUUUCAUGUGAACUUACCAUAUCAGUUGAGUUAAUGUCACGUGUUAUCUAAUUCGACAAUUUUAUACUAAAAUUUGACAUAAGUUCAUGGAAUGUAUAUAUGUCACGAACGUAUCAGUUUAUGGAGAAUUAUAAAUCAGUUUGGAGUAAUAUCGACUUGGGAUCUUUUAUGAUAUUCAUUCAAAGAAUUUAUUAAGAACGGAAAGGGAUGGUUGAGAAAUUAGCUUUGAAAUGUCUAACGUGAACAUGAGAUGGCCUUAAGAGAGACGUUAAGGGAGUGAUUACCUUUUGGGAACAUAAUGGGGUUGGAGCUUUCAUUUGUCUUGGUCCGUCAUUCGUGGGUAUCCGCUUUAUCUCAUCACAUCUUUGUCCGAAUUUGGUAGGAGUCACAUCUGUUAUGUACUGAAAAGAUGCACCAAAUAUGGAUAAUAAUAUCUAUUGGGGCGGACUUUACCACGACACCUGGCCUGAUUUCGGUGGUCAAAGUUCGAAUGUGUGCAUUUUUCUUCCUCUUCUCAAUAAUGAGGCAGGAACUUUGAAAUUGAUCCCACUUUUGUCGCAGAUUCUUCAAAAGAUUCGGUAUAUAGCCCUUGGAAUUGGACGUAUUCUCAAAAAGAGUCUUGAAAAUAGGCUUCAUUAUAAAUGAAUAACCCUCAGCAUACGCCGGCAAGCAUGUGCAUGACAUGUGACACUUCCCAAGGUCAUGAUCAGCGGACAUUUUCAUCAAGAGGCUUUUUAUUUAUUUAUCUAUUUUUAUUGUCUUUCUCUUUCUUUCUUCAUCUUCCCCACUACAACAUCUUCUUCCUUCUGCUUCACCCCCGUUGUUGACUUCGACACCUUUAUCAGCCUCCCCAGUAUCGAGCUCUUGCGCUUCAUUCCCACGGGUAGACUGUGGUCGGUCUUAGUGACGAACGGGAAGUUUGUUAGGACUUGGAGGUAUCAUGACAAAAUGAAUGCUGAGUGAAGUCUUGAGUACUAGCGUGCUCAAGAAGAAUUGGGCAGCAAUACGUAAGGCAAUUAUCAACAGGAAGUUUGGAUAGACUCAGAGAAUUGCUUAUAAAAGUAGCUCGUUAUAUCGGCCGAGGAAAAAAAGAUUUUUUUUUUUCACAUGUUUAAACAAUUUGGAUUAGGAGACCUAGAGAUUCCUUUGAUUUAAUUUGUGUGUUAAAAUGAAUAAAUAGCUAAUUUCGGGGCCUAGAAUCUCGAAUUGAAGAUAUGGAGAAAAAUCAAUUUUAUUGUUACCUAUGUUAUUCGAUCAAUUAGAAGAAGAGAUUAUUGACGCAUAUAACUUACUUUAUUUAGGGAAACCUCAUCAUUACCUAGAAAAUUUGAUUAUAUGGACGAUCGGAUUUCAUCGUAAUUAUGUUCAUAAAUUCCAACUACUAAUUGAUUUUCUUAGAGAUUCUCUAACGAUUGACUUGGAGGUUGAUGACUAGGGAUGAACGGUUCCAAGUUCUGUGAAGGUUUCACUUGGAACCUGAAAUCUACCCAUUGGGACAUAUUCCUCAUUUUUUUGGAACUUGGAACCUACUAUGCUUAAUUUAGAAUCUGAAACUUAUUUUGUCAUAGGCUCCAAAGUCGGUUCUAGUUCACCCAGGUUUCACAGCUAUUAUUAAUUAAACAAUUGUAGCGAAUUAUCACUUUUAAUAAUCAUCAUUUGUUACUACAAUUCACUGACUAUAACUUAUAUUUAGACACACGAAAAAAUUAAAAUAUCAACAAAAUAAAAGUUUCCGUCAUAAAAUAGAAACUCAGAUUAAUGGUUCUAGAUUAUACACUUAUCAUCCAAUGACAUGAAAUACCGUAGAAUCACGCGAAGACAUAAACCAAGAAAAACAUAAAAAUUUGUUCCAAACUCUAGGUUAUAGGUUCUAGGUUCCAUGUUUCACAAAUCUAGAACUUAGAACUUACUCGUCGAAACGGAUUCCUCAAUAUUUGAAACUUGGAACCCACCCUGUAUAUCUUAAAACCUAGAACUGGACAAGUUCUUAUCGGUUUGGUUCUUAAGUUCUAGGUUCUAUUCUGAAAUUAUGCUCACCCCUAUCGAAAACUAUAUAAGAAGAUUAAUACACUUUUAAUAUAAUAUAUAAAACUAAGAAAGUUAUGGUUACCGAUAUAGUCACAUUCUCUUUGUGUUGUGAGCAUGAUCUAUAGUGAUAUACUCUUUUGAGAGUUGUCAUUACUCAUUUCAAUUUGUAAUUUGAAGAGUGUACAAGUAUGUAGGUAGAAAUUGUUUAUUGAUAGUGGGAUCUAUCUAUUUUGAAUAGAAGCAACACGUGUUUCGUAUAAACUACUCACUAAAUUAUCAGUGGACCUCGGCCUAUUGAUUGCUAUUAGUUUGGGAGAAUGGAUGUAGGCUUGACAUAAACCAAACCACCAUUAAAAUCUGAGUGCAUUGUGUUCUAUUUCUUUACUUAUUUUAUCAUUUAUCUAAUGGAAGUAUCUUGCAUCUUAUAUCAUCUACUAUUCCUGCAUCUAUCAACCUAGAUUGAGUAAUUCCAUGAAAAUUUGUUAUGUUUUGAAAAUAAACUUAUUCACCCGAUAUGGUUGUAUUAUUAGCGUCAACAAAAUGUGCCACAUGAUAAGCACAUGCUCAACGAUCGACAAUAGUCAGCUAGUAAGCUAGGAGUAAUUUUGAUACUUAGUCACCCACUUUAGAGACUAAUUAAAGAAAGGGUUAAUACCCUAAAAAACCCCAAACUGGUACACCUGUGACAAAUUUACCCCAAACUAUUUUUUUUUUACUAUGAAAAACCCCAAACCGGUACACUUGUGAAAAAUUUACCACGACUGACUAUAAACCCCAAACUGAUAAAUUUGUGACAAAUAUGCCCUACGCUAAAUUAGAUUAAUACCACAAAAAAAUCACAAAAAUUGUAAAUUGUGACAAACGAUGCAUAAAAUCCUAAAUCGAUAUACUAGUCAACUGUUACGUGUAAUUUAACUUAAUAAUUUGACAAAUUUAACAAAAACUAACAGAUGUAAAUUUGUCACAAGUGUACCAGUUUUGGGUAAAUUUGUCAAAGGUAUACCAGUUUGGAGUUUUUGGUGGUCAAAAAAAUAGUUUGGGGUAAAUUUGUCACAAGUGUACCAGUUUGAGGUUUUUCAGGGUAUUAACCCUUAAAGAAAAUAUUCACUUUUAGGACUCUUUUAAAAGAACGACCUCAUUUCAUAAGGCUAUUUGAAAUUUUCACGAAAAGCUUUACCAACCAAUUUUGAAGGAUUAAAACUCUAAUGCUAAAGAAUGUGCCUGUGAGAUUUUGCGUGACAAUUGCCAACUAUUCUAAAAGCUUAAGCCAUUAGAUAAAAGCAUAGUUUAUUACUUAAAUUAUUCUAACACUCUCUCUCAUGCUUAAAUUGGUCUUUACAUAUUUAAUUGGGAAAGCAAAUAAGGCUUGUAAAGAUAUAAAUUCAGAAUCUCUAACUUUGAUAUCAUAUGAAAUUUUGUGGGACUGUCGCCAAUUAUUCUAAAGGCUUUAAGUUAUUAAAAGAAUGUGUGAUUUACAAUGCUUUCCAUUUGAUCUCCUUUAAUUUUGAGCAGUUUGCAUUAGGUCCUCAUGACUAAGUAGUGUCCUCAUGAAUAAGGUCCAAUCACGAUAUCAACCACAUCCAGCAAUGAUUGGAACAGCUCAUCGGUCAAAUAGAUGAGAAUAGGACUGGUAAAGAGCUCUUUGGCAGGUUAGAGGAGAGUUGAUCUCCAAGUUAAAGGUAGCCCAAGUCAGUCAAUCCAUCAUUUAGUUAGUGGCUAAGGCUUGGUUUCGUGCGGUUCAUUACGCCAAAGCAAAGGCUUUCAAUGAACUAUUGGAGCUAUCGAGAGUACCAAAUGAUGACGGUAACGAAGGUUGCUGACUUUCGAUGGACACGGAGUCAACAAGUUUAGUCGAACAGCGUAAGGAGUCUAGGGUUACAAAAACGUUCGCCAACUUGGAUAGGUCUCCCUUCUUGGCACACUGAAGCUUGCAAUAAGCACACAUAUUAGAUUCACAAGAAGCACAUUGAGUUUAAACAGAAAAGAAAAAAAGAAAGAAACAUUUCUCCCAGUAGAGAAUACAUGGACAUACCUUGUAACUUCUGGUUAGCAUUUGGUCAUGUAAAACAUCUCGGAAAGCUCUUCCCCUAAAAAGUGAACAUGAACUUUUUCGCACUAUAAACGCUUUUAUUUAUACAUAACUGGUAACAACACAAGCGCAGAAAGAAAUAAAAAGUUAGUGCAAACUUGAGAAAAGAACAUUGGGAGGUCUUUGAUACAACGAUGAAAAAGUAAGAAACUACAACAAAUGUACACGAGCAUAUUCCAUUGACCCACCAAAACCUAGUUCAGUGGUUGGAUUCUUCUUCUUUCCUGUGUCCGGCACAUAUACCUUCAUGCCGUGAAGCGAAUGGUGGCUUCACUCCACUCUCUCUCCAACUAUGCAAAAGCUGCAAUAUGUGAUCUGGGUCACAAAAAACAGCAGCAACAAUGAUUCUGAUGUCCAGCUUAAAAUAACAAAAAGGAACCCAAAAGAGCAAGAAAAUAACAGAAAGGGCAGCACGGGAGUACAUGGAAAUUUAGGGCAUCAGUCUCACUGCUUGCUCCAUCAGUUCACUCGUGUACCCAAUCCAUCAAUCAGACCCUCCAGUUCAAGAUAGAUUCCCAUGUCAUUCACUGUCAGGUGGUCUUCUACUUCUAUGUUGUCUGCGUCAUCGCCAGCAACCACGUCUUCCCUGAGGAGUUUCUCGGACAUCUCAUGGAAUACUGAAGACAAAUCAGAGGGACCAGCUCUGGCCAUCUGAUCGGGCGUCUGACCCAGCGAAACUCUGAAAUCUUCAACAUCCAUUGAAGGCCACGGGUUGGGCAUCUGAAUGGUGUCAAAAUCCUCCGGCAUGACCCUAUUUGGCCAAUGCUCCAUCUGUGCCAAAUCAUCACUGAUUCUCAGGCAAUCAACGUUUGGGCUUUGAAUCAUGUGAUCCAUUGCUUCAUUCAAGCAUUUGGUGGCUUCAGCAUCGGGACCAAGCAAUUUGCUUUUCUCGCUGGAUUCACAAGUCUCUAAAUCUCUCUUCUGCCUCUUCUUCUGGAUUAAAUGCUGGACAAAGUUGGGCCUUUUGGCUGCUUUUGUGAGGAAGAGGAAUAUCUGCUGGUUCCUGCACUCGGCAUGGCGAACCCGCUCGGUGACGUGCUCAAUCUCACGCUGAAAGUUCUCCCGCUCUUCUCUUAGUUUAAGGAUCCUGGUCUUCAACGCUUCCUGGUCCUUCUUAAGCGUUUUGAGUUCCACUUCAUUUUCAGCUUUCUGGUAAUCAGAGGUGACAGUACUACUCGAUGUUUCUCUAUGCUCGUUGGAUCUGCGUCUCCUCUUUAUAUUCUUCAGCAAGUGCUUCUUCCCUUUGUGAAAACCUCGGUUCGCAAACUCCCAUCGAUCUGGAUCGAUCUUCCUAAAACCCUGCGACAUAUUUUGAAUUAUGAUGCAUAAAGAAUAGAAGAUAGGAAGAAUCUACGUCUAUGAGUUCAUAUUGAACCAAAGGCUAAAGAGUAGAAAUAAGCAGAAUGAAGGCCAAGAAAGUUUCAAUGGAAGAUGUGCACAAGGGGUAUUANNNNNNNNNNNNNNNNNNNNNNNNNNNNNNNNNNNNNNNNNNNNNNNNNNNNNNNNNNNNNNNNNNNNNNNNNNNNNNNNNNNNNNNNNNNNNNNNNNNNNNNNNNNNNNNNNNNNNNNNNNNNNNNNNNNNNNNNNNNNNNNNNNNNNNNNNNNNNNNNNNNNNNNNNNNNNNNNNNNNNNNNNNNNNNNNNNNNNNNNNNNNNNNNNNNNNNNNNNNNNNNNNNNNNNNNNNNNNNNNNNNNNNNNNNNNNNNNNNNNNNNNNNNNNNNNNNNNNNNNNNNNNNNNNNNNNNNACAGUAAAAUGCAAAAUACUAACCACUAUAAAGGAACUGCUGUAGUGCAUUUCUGAAUCCAAUUAAGAAGAUAAUCUUUAACGGGUGUUCUGAUAGCAUGGUUGGUGGUUUCUGCAAACUACCGUCUAAAGCAUCAUCACUUGAAUAUGAUGACAGACCGAGGGCUAGUAGGGGCCAUCGUCCACCGGCCACUUGAUGCAAAUUUUUGUGAACAUGUGCCGCGUGAUUCAUGAAAUUUCAUAUGGAAUCUGGGUAUCUCGCCUACCAUUUCAGGUUUCUUGGUUCCUUUUCCCUUAUACUAGGGUAAAGCACAAAUAGUAACCGACAAAAUGGGUUAAAUUGAGUCUCAACACCUGAGCAAACCUUUUGAGUGGAGUCCCUCGGAGCGUAGCCUAUUGCCGCGGGGACUACCCGCUAGCUGCUGUAAGAAGACCACACUCUCGAUGACAUCCAAAAAAAGAACCGAAGAGUUAAACGAAAACACACACACACACACACAUACAUACUUUAUACACAUCAAUACAAUAGAUAAUGACCGCAACAAAUGAUAUAGGUUUGCUCUUAUCCAAACAUGAAGAAGUACCCACGUAAGUGUUGAGCUGCCUGAUGAAGCUGGAGAAGUUGGAGUGCUUGAAGUAUCGAGGCAGGACCUGCUUGGAGAACUCCUGCUCGUCCCACACCACGAAGCUGUCCCGCCUCAAACCCCACGACACCAACGGGUCUGUCCCCGGGUCCGACACCAUCUCAUACGUCUUCCUCAGGAACGGCGUUGGCCCCGCCUCUCCCAGCCCCUCCAUCGGCUUCGCCACACCGUCCGCUACUGCCUGCCACGAGCAUGACGGCAAUAAAAUGGUCGCAUCCCUGGGAUCAGCAAUGGUCGGGACCUCCUCCUCUUCCACUUCCUCUUUGAUCUUCGCCGCCUUCACGGCCAGAGCUGAACAGGGUUCGGGCCGGGUCAGGCACGAAUGCAAGCACGACCCAGCUCCAAUUUUGCCAUCGCCAAUGGCUACUUCUGGCAAGUGACCCGAAUGGGAAAGCGACCCACAGCAUCCUAGCUCGCCUGCACGGGGCUUUGAUUGUGACCGAGGAGAAUCGGUUCGGGUUAGGUUCAAGUACAAGGGCGACUGGGACCCUAUCUCGCCAUGGUCGCCACCGUCAAGAACAGCAACGGACGCGAUUUCUUCCCGUGAUUUUGCGAAAGGUUUUUGCCUUUUCCAGCUCAAGACUUGAUUCUUGGAAGAGGGUUUUGGAAAACGACACGCAAGAGCCAUUGGUACGGCCGGCGGAACGCCGUCGUUAACUUGAGCUCGAGUUCAAGCUUUUUUCUUUUCUUUUUUUUUUUCCCGUCAGAAGCUCGAGUUCAGGUUCAAAGGUGGAGAUAGCAUAAGAAAUUUUCAAGCGAGUGAAUAUACAUGGUAGGGUUUCGAGAGAGAGAGGGAGCUUGAAUUGAAAAGUGGAGUGCGCAGGUGACAACGGCGAUGGUAGGUGGCCUUAUAGGGGAAACGUCGAGGAGCCGCCAUGCUUUUGUCCUUUGCGUCUUAGAAAUAUUUUCCUUGUGGCUGUUAAGGAUUAAUAUCUUGAAAACUCACAAAUUGAUAAUAUAUAUAUAUAUAUAUAUAUAUAUAUAUAAUAUUUAUUUUAAAUUAAUAUAUUUGUAAUAAAUUCACCUUUAAUUAAUACACUUAUGAUAAAUUUACCAUCUACUAUCAAAUUACUAAAUUUGAUAAUACGUGACAAAUGACUAGUAUACCAGUUUAGAAUUUUACUCUUCGUAUGUCGUAGUUGUGAUUUUUUGUGGCAUUAAUCUAAUUUAUUUAAUGGAAUAUUUGUCAAAAUGUAUCAUUUUGAGUUUUUUUUGCAAUCGAAUAAAAUUAGUUUUGGAUAAAUUUAUUACAAGUGUAUCAGUUUUUGAUUUUUUUGUGGUCAUUUGGGAUACAUUUAUUACAUGUAUACUCAGAUAAAUUUGUCACGUGUAUAUCAAUUUACGGUUUUUUAAAAUAUUAACUGUAUUGUGAUUCUAUCUUUAAGUUUUUUUAUAUUAAAAGAUUCAUGUCAGCGUGGUUUAAUAAUAAUCAAUUAUAUCUUUAAGUUUUUUAUAUUAAAAGAUUCAUGUCAACGUGGUUUAAUAAUAAUCAAUUCUAUUUUAUAAGUUUUUUAAAUAGAAAAAGUCACGUGAGCAUACUUAAUCACGUCCAGUUGCUGCAUAAGAUUAUGCGGACAAAGAAGAACAGCAGCCAUAUUUGUUCCACCAACAAGAAUAAGUGACUUCCUUUUAAGUAUUUUAAAAGUGAGGUCAUUAAAGUCUCCUAAAAAAAGCACAUGAUUAUGUUUAGAGAUUUUGACCAUUUAUAAACUAACAGUUGUUUUGUAACUACUCUUAUCAAAUCAAAUGACGCAUGGCAUAAAUAGCAUAAAAGCAUUCAAAAUUUAUUUCAAGUUAUUUCAUGAUAUCAUUGAUGCUUAACAAUUAGAAAUUGUGACAUUUUAUGUCAGUUUCAAUAUUUUGUUUUUCAACUCAAUGGGACAAGUUAGCUUAGGCUGACUUGGAUGAGUGAGUAUAGAAAAUUAUGCACGAAUCGUGCCAUCAUAGGAUAGAGCUCAUUCAUAUCUAGUUCUCAAUAUAUCCUUUCAUUAGAUUAUAAUGAGACUAUUUAUAGUUGUCUAGUGUCUAUUCAUAUGUAAGUUUAAACUUUUCGAUUUAACUUUUUAGUACAAUAUCGGAGUCAAGUUUUGUCCUCGCUUAUGGGAAUAUUCGCAUUACUAGUCUAUGAAAUUUUAUUUAACAUUAUGUUUAUGUACCCUCGUGCUACCUAUUAGACCAAUUUCUUUUUUUUAAAGGUUUUUUUUCUUAAUUGUUGAAAGUGUUAAUCCUUUUCCCCACUAGCAAACGAAAACAGUGAGGAUGUAGUUACCGAAGGUCUCGAGAAAAGCUGAGAGUAUAACAGUAAAGACAAGAAGGGGGAAAAGGAGCAGUUGAGAAUUUGUUCCUUUUCCCAACGCUUUGGGAGAAGGGAGAUGGACAGGGGGCAAUGGUACGCGUUUUGAUUCCUUAAUUAUCACUUAAUGUGUGUUAUAGAAGCGUGGACCAAUCAUCAUUUACUUUCGUUGCCAGCUAGGAGAUGGACAGGGGGCAAUGGUAUGCGUUUUGAUUCCUUAAUUAUCACUUUUGAUUCCUUAAUUAUCACUUAAUGUGUGUUAUAGAAGCGUGGACCAAUCAUCAUUUACUUUCGUUGCCAGCUCAUUCAUCUUGCUUCCCUGGACAUGACAACCAAAAUGUGUGUUUGUCGACCUCCCUUUUCGGGCACUCUUAUGUGCAGACGCGUGCGGAGGCUAAUGGCUCGACUAAGUAUUAGGCUUAAUCCGGACUUUCUCAUGUCCAUCAAUUUACGACUUAAUGGUUCGAGUUUUUAACCUACAAGUCAAUUUUAAAUAGGAGUCACAACUAAUCGAUUUGAGGUAGGUCGAUUACAAACCCAAAUGAAAUAUCGAAGGAAAUAUUUCACUCCUGUGCAGCUAGAAAAACUAAGAACGUAGACUUGUAAUGCAUUUUCGACACCUUACCUUGUUUAAAGCCUGAGGUUUGUUGACACCUAAAAUUUUAAAUUAGGUUAUUAAUUUGGCCUUAGUUUCUUUAUUUAUGUAUUUUCCCUUUUUUUUCGGAUAAUAAACAAAACAAAGAAAAACAAAAAACAGCAAGAAAAGCAGAAGCCAGCAGCCCAUUUUUCUCCCUCUUUUCCCCUCCGCAUGGGCCUCUACGGCCCACUUUCCUUCUCCUCCGGCCCAGCCCUUUUCGGUCUUCUUCCUCAUUCGUCCGCUCUGCAACACACGCGCAGAGGGCGCAAUGCCGGAUGAGCGGACGGACGGCAACGCGCGUGAAAAAGGGGGGGCAGCUGGAGGCCUGGCAUCGGAUAAGAACGUGGGAGGGGCAGCUGGCGUCGGAUGGGACGCCGGUUCAACCGGCGGAGGCCGCUUGCCGCACGGGGACCGGCGGUCGAAGCUCCGUCGACCGGCUGCCCCUCGCCUAUAAAUAGGCCCUCGUUUCCGUCAUUGAGAGGGCACGCCGAGAAGGAUCGAAGGCUGUAGAUCCUCGAAACCUCCCACUGAGAGACUUCAGAACGGGGGGCCGAGGACGAGCACGCCGAGAUCCAAGGUCGGCCGGAGAAGCGAGCGCAGAGACGCGCGGAGGAAGGAGAAAGGGAGAGGGAUCGAGGUCGCAACCCUUGGACACCCCAUUGAGAGACUUCAGGGGGGCUGAGGGCUCGCAGCUUCGGAUCUGGGCUUCGCCGGAGUAGAGAGAGAGGGACGCCGGAGAGAGGGGUUUGCGUAAGGUCUCGCCGUCGCCGCCAUCUUCGCCCGUGUCGCGCCGUUGCCAAGUAGGUAUCGCUCUGCCGCCGUCGCCGUUGCCAUCGCUAUAGUUUCCCCCCUCCGCAGUCCAACCCUCGUCACUACCGUCGCUGUCACCGCCGUCGUCGCCGUUGCCGCCACCGUCGCCGUCACCGUCGUCCCCGCUGUUGUGCCUCGGCGCCGCGAUUCGGGAACCCUAGGGUUCCCGAUUUUCCGGGUCGCAACCCCGGGUUGUCGGGUCGGACCCGGAUCGGGAACCGGGUAGGGAUUCCGCAAAUUGCGGGCGCGGCGGAAGACCGGGUCGCGAUUCGGGUCGGAUCCUGGUAGGGUUUCGUCGCGGAGCGGGUCGUGGACCCGGGUCGUCGGGCCGGGCCGGGCGUCCCCAAACCCGGGUUGGAACCAACCCGCGGAUCCGACCCGGGUCGGUUUUAUUUUAUUAUCUUAAUAUAUUAUAAAAAAUAAAAAAAUAAAUAUUUUAUUUUAAAAAAAAAUCAAAAAGUGUUUUAUUUUCAAAAAAAUAAAAAAAAAUGUUUUAAUUUCCAGAAAAUCAAAAAAAUAUUAAAAAAUGUCGAAAAAUGUUUUAUUUUCUAAAAAUCGAGAAAAAUCAAAAAAUAAUUUAUUUUCCAAAAAUAUUUUGAAAAAUAUUAAAAAAUAUUUUAUUUUCCGAAAAAAUAAAAAAAUAAAAAAUAUUCCAUAUUUUCCAAAAAUGCCAAAAAUCCAAAAAAAAUCCAAAAUCUCAUGAAAAAGCCAAAAAAUUCAGAAAAGUCCAAAAAGACUUGUAUUUUCCCAAAAAUACCAAAAAAAAUCCCAAAAAAUCCCUUUUGUGUCCAAAAAAUUAGAAAAAGACCUAGAAAAUGUUUUCCCUCCCAAAAAUGCAUGGAAAAUCCCUCGAACAUCCAAAGAACCUCAGGGUUUAAACAAGAUUAGGUACCGAAAGGGCAUUAGUGAUUAACUAGUGUAAUCAAGUCCCCGAUCCUAAUUUCUCUGGUUACGCAGGAGUGAGUAUUUCUCCCGGUACUUCACUUGGGUUUCUAAUCAACCCACCCCAAAUCGAUUAGUGGCGACUCCGUUUUAAAAAUUGAUUUAUAGGUUAAAAACUCAAACUAUUAAAGUUGUAAAUUGGUGGCUUGGGAGAGUCCGGGCUUAAUAAAUUCAGCCGAGCCAUUAGCCUCCUUAGGCGCCCGUACCCGAUUGCGGGUGCCAAGAAAAAAAGAGGUCGCGACAGCUUGGCGACUCCGCUGGGGACUUUUGAGGACUUAGGCCAUUUUAUCUUUGUUUAAAUGCUUUGCUGACUUGGUUUUUUUUCUUUUAUGCAGGGUAAUAGCUUAAAGUUUUUUAUUAUGUUAAAAUAAAAUGUUUUUGUGAUUAUAAACUGUUGUGCAUGCUUUACUGUUUUAAACACUACACAUGGCACACACAACCCGGCCGCCGAACCUGGGCCGCCAUAGGAUUUCUAGGAUGGUGUUAAGAAAGAUACGACCUUGAACGCGAGACUGCGAUAUAGAGGUUGCCUUUCUUUUCCCCGAAUUUCUUAGCCGAGGUUAAGGGGGUAUGUUGCUAACGCGAGACUGCGACGAGCGGAUAUCCUUUUAAUCUCACCAAGCCUUCUGAGUUAGAAAUCGAGCCGCACGUCCCACGCGCAUGUCUUUGUGCUUGCCAUUUUUCUUUAAAAAGCAAAAGUAAUCCCUUUACUUUUACUCAUUCUUUUUAUUUGGCCCAUGGCAAUUUAGGAUAAGCUUUUUCAAGUCCCAGUUUAUAUGCGAUGGGGAAAGACGAUAACCAGUUCAUUCCUACUCCCAAGGCGGAGCUCUUCAGAUGGUGGGGUCAAUUAGAUCAGUUUGCCCAAGAGCGCGUGAAGGCCAAAGUCGGUCAUCUCCUAUUGUUGAUUCAAAUCACUGUUCGUCCUGAAGUCAUACAAGCCAUGGCACAUUUCUGGUGCUUGAAGACGACUACUUUUAUGUUUGGUGGGUUUGAGCUAACCCCAACUCUGGAAGAUACAGCAUCAUCACUGGAAUGCCUCUCGAGAAAAAGCUUGUUAAGCCAUCGACAGGCUUCCUCCCGUGGCAAGGGUUAGCACGACUUUUAGGAACUGAAAUCCAUGUCAUGAGACAAAUUCUUGAAGGCAACCAUAAUACCUGCCCACUAGAAUUCAUGAAUGCCUGUUUUCAAAAUCAGCCUAUGACCCAAAAAAGCGAGAUUUUCCUCCUGGGCUUUUUUGGGUUCAUCAUUUUCCCCCAUCAAAGAAAUGUCAUAAGUCCUAAGAUGGCAUGGAUAGUUGACCAAAUCUUGAGGGGGCAAAAUUAUGUCAAUAUGAUUUUAACUGAAACAUUCUUGUCCUUUAAUCGUUUUAAAGACAACACGGAGAAAAUUAUGCGAGCCUCUCCUGAAAUUUUACAAGUCUGGUUCUUUUCUCACCUAAGCGAAUUCCAAGGCUUCAUGCGAUCAUCUGGAAUGAAUGACUUCGAAAAUCCAUUACAAAAAUUUAUGGUUUUAGGACCAUACAUUCCCAAUCAAAGCUGUUUAAAUUGGAUAAAUUUCCUAAGAGACCCGGCUCCUGAGGCAUUCCAAUGGUGUGCUGGUUGGUUCUAUGAAAAGAGAGCUCGCUUUGCUUUCAAGCACCGCCAUCCAAUUCCGCUGCUCGGCCUCACCGGUGCUUUUUCCUAUUUCCCACAACGGGUGGCACGACAGUAUGGAGCCCUUCAGGAGAUCCCGCCAUCUUUCAAGAAGAGGACCCCUCCACUUCUCUUCACUCAUCAAAAUUUUGAAUACAUGGUUGACAUUUAUGAAGAAGCAUGGAACAAGUGCCAUCGUAAAAGAAUCGUGGUACCUGAAGGGGUUGAGGGAGAAGAAAAAGCCCACCACGCCUCCAUGUCCUACAUCCACAACCAUCGCAUCCCGAUAAAAUGGAAGCCAUUAGUUCCUCACUCAAUCAGCGAGAGCAGCCAGCACGAGCAAGCAGAGCUCAUGGAGAGGGAUUUGGGAAUGGACUGGAUGCACACCUCAGAGCCAGCCCAAGGAAGCAGGCGUCCUCACAAGAACAAGCUCCCCGUCGCAUAUAAAUUAGCAAUCAUGUGCCCCUUAGUGUUAAUAUUGUGAAGGUUUUGUCCCAUUGUUUAGGGGACUUUUGUUUAAUGUCUAGUAUUUCAUUCUGUCUUUUCAAUUGCAAGUUCUAGAUGUCAGAAGUCUGCGGUCUAUAAAAUCCUAUUUUGAUAAAUAAGAAAGCAGUUAGACCAUUGCCAUGGGUCACUCUUUGUUUACUGUUGUGCUCAUUCAUUGUUUUCAACACAAGCAGGUAAUUAUGAAUCGCCGACCACCAAUUGCUCGUGAAUGGCCUCAUGCAAUAGGACCCGAUCAGAAUGAUGUACAAAAUCGCCUUAUUAACAUUGAAGACGGCGUAGGACAGAUGUCCAUUGUCCUUCAACAACUCUCAAGACAAAUGAAAUCCACUCAAGCUGAGCCCAACUCUAUAGUUGCCUCAAACACCGUCAUGACACCUGCAAAUUUGCCAGAAAAUAGCCAGUACCAUAAACAGUUUGAAAAGAUCAUGAAAAAGUUAAGCCAGCUGCAGGAGCAGAAUCCCAUGGACCUGUCCAAUUACACCGGCAUUGAGAUCCCUGAAAAACUCAAAGCACCUGAAUGUGAAAGGUAUACUGAUACCUCCCGCCCAGAGACCUACUUGCAGGCCUACCUGGUUCGAAGGAUGAUUCAAUCAUACCAAUCGAGCUUGACUAGCCCUGCCUUGCGAUGGUACAUUGUCAGGAAGAUUAGUCUCCUUAAAACUUGGAGGGAACUAAUUCAUGUUUUUCACCAAGAAUAUGAUAUUGACAUCAACCUGACAUAGCCUUGCCUUACGAAAAACUGAUGAUUGCGGAGCACGAGGAACCGUUAGUCGUUGAGAUCGGAGAAGAUCAUGUUAAUGAAGCCUUGCAUGAUAAAUGGGCAGCUGAACAACACCCUGUUAUUGGAAAAUUUCCCACUAGGAAAGGCAAGGAGCCUUUGUACGAGAUCAAAGACAAAGAGCCUGUUCAAGACUGGGGCACGACUGGACGACUCUCCAAGCUUACUCCAAGAGCUAGGGUCCAAAGAAUACCAACCCCUAUCAACUUGGGAAGUGAAUCAGAUAGUGAAACUCCAAUGUCUCUCACUUCCUUUGACAAAAUCGAGUUGGCAAAAUGAAGGGCCUUACUCAAAAGGUCUGGACCAGAAGCCAAGAAAAGAAAGCCUAAGCAAAUCAAUUCAGCAUCUGCCGACGAGCCACCACACCCAAGCUUCGAGCAUUCCCAAGAAUACAGCUUUGAAGGCUACCAUCCCCAAGAAUACAACCCCAAUGACGUCCAGCGUUAUUUCGACAAUGAAACUGACGAUUCAUCGUAUAACUGUUUCCUAGUCUCAUCCGGGGAUGAAGGCCCGUCAGAAGAGGAAGCAUACGUCUUUAUCUGCCACGAUCCUAACGAAGUACUAAGCUCUUCCUCUGACCAUGAGGAUAGCUUCAAUACUUUAUCCUCAUUCGGAAAUUUUGACCAAGAAGAAAGCAAUGGGAUAAUCUCGGUAGAAUCCAACUUCCCUGAAACAGAAAAAUUCACCACUACAACAGAUAUGCAGUGGGAAAACCAGUGGCCUAACCAAGAUACAUCAAGCCCGUCUUGCGCUCAUAGGAUCAUGACCCCUGGAGAGAUGUGGAUACCUAAUCUCCGCAAGUAUAAUGGCACGACUUGCCCCGUGGCCCACUUGCAGUACUUCCAUGCUGAAAUGAGUCAAUACUAUGGCCUGAUGUCAUUCACAACACAGGCCUGCCAAGAGAGCCUUACAGGGUCUGCAUUACAAUGGUUCAUCACAGCAGAUAUCUACCUCAUGAGAGAUUGGAAUGAGCUGUCUUCUGCAUUCCUGCUUCAGUAUCAAAGCCAGAUUGGGAAUGAAGUGUCUUGUCAGAACUUGGUUCACUUCAGAAGAAGAACAAUGGAGGAUUUCCGAGCAUACGCAGGGAGGUGGAGGGCUUUCAUGAUGCAAACCCACCCUCAACUGGCUGAAGAGGAGUUAAUAAAGCAGUUCAUAGAAGUUCUGUCUUGCAAGCAGCGCUGUUGGCUGCAUGGGUUACACUUCCGUAGCUUCAACAAGGUAGUCAUCGCAUGCGAAUACUUCGAGUCUAUUGAAGGCGAGGAAUUCAAAGACGCUUAGCUUCAAGACCAGCACUAUCAAAGCGCUCCUUUACACAGGGGUCUUCAUGAGUUUUACUUGUUUUUAUAAUUUCAUGUUUCUUAUCUUGUCUAGUGUGCUACUAUUGUAUUUUCCAUGCCAAGUAUUCUAUUGUGCAGUUAUAAUAUUUCGUUUUAAGAGCAUGAGGCGGUACUCCAAACCAGCCCGGUGAUGCUAUCCAACCAUGAAAAAAUAUACCAUCCAAGGAGAAUACUGAGGGCUGGGCUUCCUCAUGCUUUUUCUCCCUCGAAUACAUAUUUUGAAAACAAAAAACACUUCAUCACCAAAAUCUUUCAAAAAACAAAAAAAUGAUAAAUUUAAUCAUGUUUGUCUUUCUGACUCACUCACUUCAUGUCUCAGAAGAUCAUUCCCGUCCCCUUUGACUUAGUGCGACAGGGGGCAUUUGAAGCAAGCACAUUAUGUGAACUCAUCGAAUUCAAUGACACCCUGCCAAGAAAGCAGGGGGCAAACAGGAAAGGAUCAUCACGUUUCAAAAUGCUCAAGGCAGGGAUGUCCCGAGUUCAUUGACAGGACUUCCAGCUUCAACGAGCCAAGAAGCACAAAGAAGGAUUUGCUUCUCUUCCUUUAAAGUGAUUACUGUCAACAGGAAGAAAAUCUAGACAGUCAAAGCGAUCUAUAGCCCCACAUCCUAGACAAUGAUGUUGGAAUCUAGAAACUUCACCCCAGACGCGUAAUUGCCAUCAGAAAGCUUGAGACUUUCCAUCUCAGAUUCCAUAGAAGCUUGAGGUACAUGACUUUUGCCCAAUGAUGCUAUAGAAGGAGAAAUUCCAUAGAAGGAAGGCGUUGAAGAUGAAUCAAUGACCAGCAAUCAUGCAUACAUGGUCACAAGUGAGGAAGGCCAAUCGAAAGAAAUGUCAAACUAUGCUAAGACGAAAAGGCUGUCAUCGACAUUCAAACAUCAUCAGGAGUCAGCAAAUACAAACUUUGGAGAAGAGUAAUUUGGUAUCGUUUCCAAUACUCCCCCUUCUUUGAAUUCACUUUUGACAUAUUCCCCCUAUUGACAGGGAGCAUCACAACUCAAGAACCAAACUCAAUGGUUAGGCAAAUCAAUAUUGGCCAAGCUAGUACGUGGAAAUAACCCACAUUAAAUUCACCUGGCUUCGUGUAAAAAGACAUGUCAUCCAGGAGCUAAUUCAGAGAAUAAUUGACCUAAUGAAGCAAGGGACAUAGGACUUCAUGUCCCCCUCUCACUUCAGGUUCACCCAAUCAUCUGCACACCAGUGAAGGGUAAAGUUGUAUCGAUUCCAGUUAUUUGACUCUUGAAAGAGUUCAUGACUAACACAUUCCCUCUUGUUUGUUGCAGGAUCACCCAACUGUCAAAAGCAAGGAUAACGAAUCAAUGAGAAGCAUAUCUUGUUUGUUGCAAGAUUAACUGACUGUCAAAAACAAAGAUAACAAAUCAAUGAGAGGCAUGACAAACUCUCCCAAGCAAAAUGACGUCUCAAGUAUUGCCAAAGCAAAUGACAGAAAAUCUUCAGGCCUCAACUCACAUUUAAUUUUGGCCAAACUAAUUGAUCUACUUGUACAUCUUCUCUUCUGCAGGGGCAAAAGCAGAGAUGCCCGAUCAGAUUCCCAACCCUGACUGAUCAUUCAUGUGUCAUAUUCCUAAUCAAUAGGGACAACCAUCGACGUCCAUUUGCGAAUAACCCUUUUGAUGUUCAAAAUCUAACAUAUUUGGAAACACCAUUAUAUUAGCCCCUAAAGUGGUCAAUAAGAUCUUUUGCGAGUCAAAACCGUUCACUUGUUUUGAAGAGUUCAAACUCCAUCAUAUUCAAAAUGUUGCAUGUCAUUUCCAGAUGAAUUAUGCAUGAUGAUUUCGUCUGUCUAAGUCACUAAUUCCACUGAGGAUUAUCAGAAUAGACAGCUAAGUGAAGAAUACAAGAUUAAUUGAGCAUGCUGGAUGAGGCGUGUCAGAAUGAUGACAGGCAAGCCAUAUCCUACACACAGUCCCCCAUCUAUACACUUGUGAGAUGAGUGCAGAAGAUUCCAUGGCUGCAGGGUAAAGAGUUCUCUCGCGAAUGGUACGAUAACCAAAAUAGUGAGAGGCAUUCCAUUGCUCACCCCAUUGAGCCCAUACAUUGGUGAAGCUCUCUCAUACCCCCGUCAAGAGCAACCCCUACACCGGGACAGAUUAGAAGCGAAGCAGCAUCACAAGGUGAGAAGAGAGAUAGAAAUUUUCUUGCUCGCACUUCCAUCAAUCUUUGGGUGUCUUUAUUGCAUAUGAACACUCACGUUAAUUUAAGUGCCCUAGAGUCAUGAAGAGCAAUUCUUUCUUUACGCACCCGUAUUCAUUGUACAACCCAAGUGAGUCUGUAAUUUUACCCUCACAUCAAGAUAAAGCAAAAUAUAUUAUAGCCUGAGCGCCGGUUGAAGAUGAAGACUCAAGAGUCUAAUAACGGUGCUUCAAUUGAACUUGCCUAGUCCAGUUCCUCUAACGACAAGAAUGAAAAAACAUGGGCAUAAAAAAGCAGUGUACCUGGUAAAAGCAAGGUCAAUGCCCAUAAAAGAAGAACUGGAAUAAAAAUAGGGGCAUGAAAAAGCAGUGUACCUGGUAAAAGCAAGGCCAAUGCCCCCUAGUCAAAAAUACAGCAAGGAAAAAGUUGCUGUUGUGGUCCAUAGAACCUCCAUCUGACAAGAAAGACUAGUGANNNNNNNNNNNNNNNNNNNNNNNNNNNNNNNNNNNNNNNNNNNNNNNNNNNNNNNNNNNNNNNNNNNNNNNNNNNNNNNNNNNNNNNNNNNNNNNNNNNNGUAAAAGUCUCUUCAGACUAGGGGCACUUCAAUUAAUGUAGGAUUUCAUAUGUCUAUAAACAUCGCUCGAAGAAGUACGAGCAAGAUUACUCUAUCUCUUUUCGCAGGGUUCUUGACUUGCAAACCCGGAGAUGAUCGUGCAACAUUUUCGUCCAUCAGCUUCAACCUUGAUGGUCCCAUUUGAUGAACUACUGACCAAGACUUCAUCACAUUUUCAACAAAGACCUCUCACAUUGGUAAAGUUGUACUGUUUGCGAGAAUACUCGGACCCCUGCUGACAUGAUGACAGUGAGAUAGUGUGGUCCUUAUAAAUCCUGCAUCAAUGAUCAGGAUAGCCUUUUCCAUGAGAGUGAGCGGAAAGUCCUUUCAGACUGAAAGUCCCUCAUCUGGCAUGCUCAAGACAUCUACAUUAUAAAAUGAAGGUUGUCUUUCAAAAUCUUCCCCAGUGGAAAUCAAAAGAUGCAGAACUGACAAAAUUAUCAUGCAUGAAUCUCAUUUGAACUCAUGAAUUUAUAGCAUAUACAAUCAUAUGUGCAUAUUAUGCAAAUAGCAAACAUACUCAUAGAGAUCAGAGAUAUUGCCAAGUAAGCAUGUCUCUAUCCCCAUUUGUCUUAAGGUACCUAUCACUGUCCAGGUACUCUCUUAUUGACACUCAACCUAUUUGAGUCGUCCUUUGAGUUUGGGUGCUUACUGCUGUCUAGGUAUCCCCAUUGUCUUUGAGUACCGGCCACCGCUCGGAUACUCCCUUUUCCUAACACUCGACCUGUUCGAGUUGUCCCCAGAGUAUUGAUACUUGUAACUGACCAAGUAUCCUUUUAUCGUUGAAUACCUACUGCUGUCCAAAUAUCAUUUUGUCUUCAAGUAUCGGCCACCGUUCGGAUACUCCCUCUUAUCGACACUCGACCUGUUCGAGUUGUCCCCAGAGUAUUGAUACUUGCGACUGACCAAGUAUCUCUUGGAAUACCUACUGCUAUCUAGGUAUCCUCAUAUUGUCAAGUACCCACCGUUGUCCAGGUACUUCCUUUUCAUGACACUCAACUUGCCCAAGUUGUCUCCAAAUAAUAGCAGUUGUUCAAGCAUUCCACUGCUUUGUGUGCCUACGCCUACCCAGGUAUGCUUUCUUACACUUGGACCAACUGAGUGGUCCCAGGUUGUAUCAUUAAAUACUUGUGUUCAUCCAAGUAUUCCAGUACUUUGUACACCUGUGGCUAUCCAGGUGUUCCACCCCUUUUAAGUGCCUGCGGCCAUCCAGGUAAACCUCGUGCUACAUUCAAGUUUAUGUUACCAGGAGGUGAGAAACCUUCAUGAAUAUCCAAGGUACGUCCUCGAUAUUCCCAAUUACCAGGAGGUGAGAGACCUUCAUGAAUAUGCGAGGCACGUCCUCAAUAUUCCCAAUUACCAGGAGGUGAGAGACCUUCAUGAAUAUCCAAGGUACGUCCUCGAUAUUCCCAAUUACCAGGAGGUGACAGACCUUCACGAAUAUGCGGGGCACGCCCUCGAUAUUCCCAAUUACCAGGAGGUGAGAAACCUUCAUGAAUAUCCCAGGUACGCCCUCGAUAUUCCCAAUUACCAGAAGGUGAGAGACCUUCAUGAAUAUCCAAGGUACGUCCUCAAUAUUCCCAAUUACCAGGAGGUGAGAGACCUUCACGAAUAUGCGGGGCACACCCUCGAUAUUCCCAAUUACCAGGAGGUGAGAAACCUUCAUGAAUAUCUCAGGUACGCCCUCGACAUUCCCAUUACCAGGAAGUGAGAGACCUUCAUGAAUAUGUGAGGCACGUCCUCAAUAUUCUCAAUUACCAGGAGGUGAGAGACCUUCACGUAUAUGCAAGACCCAUCCUCGAUAUUUCCACACGAAUAUCUCAGGUAUGCCUUGAUUCUUCCCAAAUAGUUUGUACCUGUGAUCGUCCAGGUACCCCUUCGAUACUUGUGAUCAUCCAGGUAUCCCCAAAGAGUUUGUACCUGUGGUCGUCCAGGCACCCCUUCGAUACUUGUGAUCAUCCAGGUAUCCCCAAGAGUUUGUACCUGUGAUUGUCCAGGUACCCCUUCGAUACUUGUGAUCAUCCAGGUAUCCCCAAAUAGUCUGUACCCGUGAUCGUCCGGGUACCCCUUCGAUGCUUGUGAUCAUCUAGAUACCCCCAAAGAGUUUGUACCUGUGGUCGUCCAGGUACCCCUUCGAUACUUGUGAUCAUCCAGGUAUCCCCAAGAGUUUGUACCUGUGAUCGUCCAAGUACCCUUUCGAUACUUGUGAUCAUCCAGGUAUCCCCAAAUAGUUUGUACCCGUGAUCGUCCGGGUACCCCUUCGAUGCUUGUGAUCAUCCAGAUACCUCCAAAGAGUUUGUACCUGUGAUCGUCCAGGUACCCCUUCGAUACUUGCAAAUGUCCAGGUAUCCCCCAAGAAUUCAUAAUUAUGAUCAUCCAAAUACCCCUUCAAUGCCUAUGGUCAGCCAAAUACCCAUUUCGACGCCUGUAAAGGCCCAAAUAUCUUUCAUGUUAGUACUUGUGAAUAUCCAGGUACUCUUUGAUAUGCUUGUGAAUGUCCAGGUAUCUUCCAGAAUUGAUGCCCUGAAAAAGGUCAGCGCAUCCUCCCGAGAAAGGUCGGGUUCCAACUAGUGUCUUCCACAGAAGUCAGACGCCCCACAAAUCGAUGCCCUGAAAAAGGUCGGCGCAUCCUCCCGAGAAAGGUCGGGUUCCAACUGGUGUCUUCGACAGAAGUCAGACGCCCCACAAAUCGAUGCCCUGAAAAAGGUCGGCGCAUCCUCCUGAGAAAGGUCGAGUUCCAACUGGUGUCUUCGACAAAAGUCAGACGCCCCACAAAUCGAUGCCCCGAGAAAGGUCGGUGCAUCCUCCCGAGAAAGGUCGGGUUCCAACCAGUGUCUUUGACAGAAGUCAAACACCCCAACAAAACAGAUGCUCUAAGAAAGGUCGGCGCAUCUCCCGAGAAAGGUCGGGUACCAACUGGUGUCCUCGAUACAAAUCAGGCACCCACAAAUGAGAUGCCCUGAGAAAGGUCGGUGCAUCUCCCGUCAAGGCGACCGAAGAAAGGUUCGGGUCCUAGACAAAUCAUUGAUUGUUUUAACAGGCGACCGAAGAAUGGUUCGGGUCCUGGAAGAGCAGUCUCCCGUCACGGCGACCGAAGAAUGGUUCGGGUCCGAGACAAACCACUGAUUACUCCAACAGGCGACCGAAGAAUGGUUCGGGUCCUGGAAGAGCAGUCUCCCGUCAAGGCGACCGAAGAAAGAUUUGGGUCCUAGACAAAUCAUUGAUUGUUUUAACAGGUGACCGAAGAAUGGUUCGAGCCUUGGAAAAGCAAUCUCCUCAUAUCACCAGGUAAGAUGAUGCCUUGAUACUUGCCAAAACUCGGGGUUCACACCCUAUCUCACUCACUCCCGGUAAGUAACUACAGGUAUCUUCUUAUCUGUCUUAGUAUAUGUAAAGUUAUAUUGCUCUUUUCCUACAUAAAAUAAUAGAUCCCAAAUAAAAUAUAAUCUACUGCAUAUGAACGGACAAAAUUUAGGUAUCAGGUUUGUUUUUGAAUGUAACCUCUACGAACUCACCUUCAAAGAUGGGCAGCUGUUGACACCUAAAAUUUUAAAUUAGGUUAUUAAUUUGGCCUUAGUUUCUUUAUUUAUGUAUUUUCCCCUUUUUUUUCGGAUAAUAAACAAAACAAAGAAAAACAAAAAACAGCAAGAAAAGCAGAAGCCAGCAGCCCAUUUUUCUCCCUCUUUUCCCCUCCGCAUGGGCCUUUACGGCCCACUUUCCUUCUCUUCCGGCCCAGCCCUUUUCGGUCUUCUUCCUCAUUCGUCCGCUCUGCAACACACGCGCAGAGGGCGCGAUGCCGGAUGAGCGGACGGACGGCGACGCGCGUGAAAAAGGGGGGGCAGCUGGAGGCCUGGUGUCGGAUAAGAACGUGGGAGGGGCAGCUGGCGUCGGAUGGGACGCCGGUUCAACCGGCGGAGGCCGCUUGCCGCACGGGGACCGGCGGUCGAAGCUCCGUCGACCGGCUGCCCCUCGCCUAUAAAUAGGCCCUCGUUUCCGUCGUUGAGAGGGCACGCCGAGAAGGAUCGAAGGCCGCAGAUCCUCGAAACCUCCCACUGAGAGACUUCAGAACGGGGGGCCGAGGACGAGCACGCCGAGAUCCAAGGUCGGCCGGAGAAGCGAGCGCAGAGACGCGCGGAGGAAGGAGAAAGGGAGAGGGAUCGAGGUCGCGACCCUUGGACACCCCACUGAGAGACUUCAGGAGGGCCGAGGGCUCGCAGCUUCGGAUCUGGGCUUCGCCGGAGUAGAGAGAGAGGGACGCCGGAGAGAGGGGUUCGCGUAAGGUCUCGCCGUCGCCGCCAUCUUCGCCCGUGUCGCGCCGUUGCCAAGCAGGUAUCGCUCUGCCGCCGUCGCCGUUGCCAUCGCCAUAGUUUCCCCCCUCCGCAGUCCAACCCUCGUCACUACCGUCGCUGUCGCCGCCGCCGUCGCCGUUGCCGCCGCCGUCGCCGUCGCCGUCGUCCCCGCUGUUGUGCCUCGGCGCCGCGAUUCGGGAACCCUAGGGUUCCCGAUUUUCCGGGUCGCGACCCCGGGUUGUCGGGUCGGACCCGGAUCGGGAACCGGGUAGGGAUUCCGCAAAUUGCGGGCGCGGCGAAAGACCGGGUCGCGAUUCGGGUCGGAUCCGGGUAGGGUUUCAUCGCGGAGCGGGUCGUGGACCCGGGUCGUCGGGCCGGGCCGAGCGUCCCCAAACGCCCAGCCACGGCGUCGUUUUUAAAAUAAAAAAAGUCGGGCCCACGUAACGGGCCCGUCUGCGUUUUAGGGUUGACCCAGGUCGGAACCAACCCGCGGAUCCGACCCGGGUCGGUUUUAUUUUAUUAUCUUAAUAUAUUAUAAAAAAUAAAAAAUAAAUAUUUUAUUUUAAAAAAAAAAAUCAAAAAGUGUUUUAUUUUCAAAAAAAUAAAAAAAAUGUUUUAAUUUCCAGAAAAUCAAAAAAAUAUUAAAAAAUGUCGAAAAAUGUUUUAUUUUCUAAAAAUCGAGAAAAAUCAAAAAAUAAUUUAUUUUCCAAAAAUAUUUUGAAAAAUAUUAAAAAAUAUUUUAUUUUCCGAAAAAAUAAAAAAUAAAAAAUAUUCCAUAUUUUCCAAAAAUGCCAAAAAUCCAAAAAAAAAUCCAAAAUUUCAUGAAAAAGCCAAAAAAUUCAGAAAAGUCCAAAAAGACUUGUAUUUUCCCAAAAAUACCAAAAAAAAUCCCAAAAAAUCCCUUUUGUGUCCAAAAAAUUAGAAAAAGACCUAGAAAAUGUUUUCCCUCCCAAAAAUGAAUGGAAAAUCUCUCGAACAUCCAAAAAACCUCAGGGUUUAAACAAGAUUAGGUACCGAAAUGGCAUUAGUAAUUAACUAGUGUAAUCAAGUCCCCGAUCCUAAUUUCUCUGGUUACGCAGGAGUGAGUAUUUCUCCCGGUACUUCACUUGGGUUUCUAAUCAACCCACCCCAAAUCGAUUAGUGGCGACUCUGUUUUAAAAAUUGAUUUAUAGGUUAAAAACUCAAACUAUUAAAGUCGUGAAUUGGUGGACUUGGGAGAGUCCGGGCUUAAUAAAUUCAGCCGAGCCAUUAGCCUCCUUAGGCGCCCGUACCCGAUUGCGGGCGCCAAGAAAAAAAGAGGUCGCGACAAGGUUUAAUUUCUUCUUUUUUUGUUUGUUUUGAUUUUCAAGGUUUUUCCAUGCAUUUGUGGAGACAAUUAACCAAAAAUUAUUUUUUUGACUUUUUCUAAUUUUUAUAGAAAAUAUAAAGUUAUUUUAUUUUUUUAUUUUCUGGAAAAACAUACAUAUGAAAAAGAUAAUAAUAAUAUCAGUGACCCAGGCUGGUCAAACCCGCGACUCAAACUGGCGGAUUCCAUGUCCAAGAUAAACCUGAAUCUGUUCAGCACCAGAUUCGUCUCCGGCCCGGCCGACUGCCGAUCGCGCCUCCAAAUGGUUGGAGAAGAUUUCCCUCACUUGAUCUUUCUAUUAUUCUUUUCUCUCUUCCUAUGGUCUUUUUUUUUUUAUAUUGUUUAUAUUCUCUCUCUCACGUUUGUCAGACUAGAUGAGAAAGGAGAGACCCCUUUUGUCCUCUUCCACUUUGGUCUUUUAGGGGGCGCGUGAUAAAAUUUCUACUUCUUUAUUUCUCUGUUUCUCUGUUUUCUGGAACAGGUUUAGAACAGAAAUCCAUUUGGUAACGCAAUUUGAUUUUUCUAUUUUUUGAACAGAUUUCUAUUCUAAAAAUAGAUUUGAAGAAGAAAUCAGAAUCUGAAAUUUUUAACUUCUCAAUAUCUAUUUCAGAAAUUGAGAAAUCCAUUUCUGGCCAGAAAUCGAUUUCUGUUCUAGAAAUUUUGUCAUGCGUACCCUUAUUCCUUAUAUUUUUUUCAUUUUUUCAUUUUUAUGUCUCUCUCGUUUUCUCUCUCUGUUGUCUUGUCCUUUCUCUACUCUACACACGCCAGACUAGGAAAAGAGAUAGGGUUCCCUUAGCCACCCAGCCCGCCUAUUGUCUCCUUUUAUUUUUAUCCUUUCUUUUGAUUUUUUUCCCUUUCUCUCUCCGGUCUCUUCUUCUUCACGCUGCCCCGAGACCGAUCCUCAGCAUCCCAUGAACCCAGAACGAAAAGAAAUAAUAACUAUGAAGGAUCGCUCGAUCCUCAACGACCACCAAUGGCUACUGGAACGCUUUUGUGAACAAUCAUUCGAAAGUAGGGUAAAAUAAGGGUGAAUAAAAUAGAAAAUAAAACUUAGUAAAGGCAAAUAAUAUCAAUAUUUAGGUGAUGCGAACAAUAUUUUUGUUAGGACCAAAUUGGUCCCUAACUUUUUUUAUGAAAUUUUAUCUUAAAAAUUUAGGCAAAAUUUAGGUGUCAACAGUGUUUGGGAUAAAAAAAAUGGGCAUCACAAACUUCAUGUUACACUUAUGACACAAUUAUUUUAAACUUUUUUCUUUGUUGACGUGGCGCGACACAAGUGCUACAUUAAAAAAUUUAAAAGAAAAAUAAAAUCCAAAGUUACUGUUAAUCAAUUGUCUUCGAAAAUUUCAGCCCAACGACCUCGAAUCGUUCAAGACUCUCAAUUCUCAAGCCUCCCUAGGUUACAAGCCCUUAGGUCAAGCUUCAAGCUCAAGUGACCACAAUGGCUAGAUCUGGCUUUGAAGCUCACCGCAGCUAAAUCAUCGUCAAGGGACUUACCCCUCCUCAAACACUUGCCUAGAUAUGAAAUUUCAAAUCUGCGAGCAAGCCGCGAUCACGGGUGAUUAAGCAAGGGCUCACCAGUGUCCUUAGAGGUCUAGGCAACUUUGGGCAUUGAUGGACAAGGGACGUAGGCGUUUUGGCUAGGCAAUCGUGAGCUUGAAGACAAUGAACAAUAACUUUGAAGAUGAUGAAUAGUAACUUCGCGAUAAACAGUAACUUCGAUUUUUUUUCUUUUUUAAUCUUUUUUUUUAUGAUGCCACUCGCCACUUGUCCUUGAAGAUGAAUUAAUAAUGUCACAUCAAAUUUUUAACAACAAUUUUUACCAUAAUCCUAAUAGAGUAUAUAUAUGUCACUCAACUAUAAAUUUAUGAUUUUUGGUGCCACAAAUUUUUUUGGGUAAAUGUGUCAUGAUAGACAUUGCUUACAUAAAUUAAGGUUUUUGUGACUUUUAACCUUUGGAUUACGGUGAUUACUUAUGCAUGUUUAAGACGCAUGAGCAAACAUAAUUAUGGCAAAUUGGAAAUAAGGCCAAAGCAAACAUGUACUUCAUAUCUGAUCAUUAAGGGUACGUAUGGUCACGUUUCUAUUUCCCGUAAUAAUUUUUUUUCAAAAACAUUUUUUUCUAUUUCUGUUCUCAGAAAUAGUUUAUGAGCAUUUAAAAGCGUUAGGUAAGUGAACAAAAUUUCAGUUCCCGGAAGAGAAAUGUGUUUGGUACAAUCUCAAAUAUUUUUGUAACUUAGAAUUUCUUUUAAUUUAUUAAUAAUUUUAUUACAUUGUUCUUUUUCUUUCAUUUCUUUUUUUCUUUUUCUUCUCCUUCCUCUAGUCGGUUGCCAACCUUGGCCAUGGCCGACCUGCGAUCGGCCACCGGUGAGGUCCCCCUGACUCCGGCGACUUCAUCGACUCUCGUCUGGCUAGUCAUGGCUCGGCGAGGCUCGACCUCAUCCUGGCUAGGUGAGGCAACCUUGCCUAGAUCUAGUGAGGCGGACCUCGCUCGACCACCGCGAGGCUCCAGGAGGCCUCGUCGAUGGCCAGCAAGCUCAGGGCGACCUCGCCAGGGGCUAGCAAGGCUUUGGCGAGGUCGUCCGGUUGCCAGCCUCGGUGGGGAAGAAGAGAGAAAGAGAAAGAAAUAAAAUAAAAUAAAAAACUUGUUUCUUGUUUCUUGAGUUAUUCCCGGAAAUAAGAAACAACUUUUUUUUCUUGUUUCUAUUCCAUUCCAAAUCUAUUCUCAGGAACAAAAAAAUUACCAAACGCGUUUUUGUUUUAUUUCUAUUCCAGAUAACAAAAAAACAAAAACAACUCGAAGCAUUACCCAACAAAACCUGAGUGAACGGACUGCAGAGCCCAUCUAUUUUGAGGCUCAAAUUAGAACAACGCAAAAGGAAAAAAAAAAAAAAAAAGUGACUAAAAUGUUUCUAUGGCUGAUAUAUCAUAACCUCCCGAAACCAAAUUGUGCAAUUUUAGGUCAAUUUGAACAUUCUAAUUCAUUAUUUAAAGCCCUUAUUCUUUCUUAGGUUUUUUAUCUUGAACUAAAUUACAAGAAAGCUAAUUUUAAAUUAUAGCGUACUAUGUUUGGAGUCUAAAAAUCUUUCAUUCCUUUUGUGGCUUCGAGCAUGAGAACUUGUAACUUUCGUGUUUGAAUUCAGAGGAUCCAUGCUUUCAUCAAUCUUCAUGUCAUUUGGUUGCUUAACUUGUUUGCACACUAAAUGAAUGCCGCAACUUCUUAGAGUCCCCUCUAAUGCUUGAAACAGUACCAUAAAUUGACUGCAAUAAUUUAGCAAUUUCGAGUCCAAUCCCCACGGCAUUUGCCGUGGAAUGUAUAGAACCCAUAUGUGGUAAAAAUCCCAUGAGGAGAAACAAUCUACACAACCAAAAGUUUCUUGAUGGUCAAAAAACAAAUGGAUCUCGCGCAAAAUACUAAAUUCCUUCUUUUUGUUGAAUCGACAAUAGCAUGAAAGGUUAGGUCGGCUAUGUUAUAGUAUGAUUCCGAAGACACAGGAAACCUUGUGAGUCCUUUCAUGCUUUGACGGACGAACAACUUUGGGGGACUUGAUUCCUGAAUGAUAAACGUCAACUCGAGUCUCUCCAAACAAUCCUUGCCAUGUGGAACAUAUACACUUGAGACACAAACAUGUGCACGAGAAGAGAGAGAGAGAGAGAGAGAGAUCAAUUGACAGCAUACUGUAAUUGCUAGAGCUUUGAUCUUGUAUUAGCUUAUGAUAGCCAAAGAAGUCAACUCUUCUGAGUCAGGGUGAUUUAUCUGGAUUAUCGUAACAUGUGUAAUAAGUCCGCACAUGUUUCAAGCAAUUCACAACCUGUCGCAAGUAAAGAAAUUAUUGUUGGCGGGAGAGCUAGAAUUUUUGGAAACUACAUACAACGUUUAAAAAAAAAAAAAAACUGCUGCAACUUAAUAAAUUGACUAAUGCAAGGCUAACGAAUUUGUUCUCCGACAGAUCUAAAAUUCUCAAUGAGGACCUGCAACUUAAUAAAUUGACCAAUGCAUGUGGUAUGCACUUUGAGGUAGUGAUGUCACUGGAAUUCUCGGUGACACCCAGAAGGCCUCAUGCUCCUUUUGCCUGUUCUUUUUUACUUUAUUGGAUGCAGUCAUCCAGUUCUCUAGCAUUGAGCAUCGGUGUGAUCUGUACUCUGGCUUGUCUCUCUCAAGAGAUCUUGAAUAGCAACAAUUUCCUUUACCAUUUAGGUAACAUUCAUUUAGGUCCCGUGCAAGCUCUGAAUGGUUUUAUCCUUCUUCAGAUGUUUUGAGCUGAUGCAGUGCAGCUUCUUUUUUGGCAAAUAGGAUGACUCUCUAGAUGCUAACUUCUCGUAUACUUAGAUGGGGCGAUUCUUACCCGACCACGGCAUGCAUCUAACCGAGAAUCCCUCUCCGUCUUGUUUCUGAUAUGAUGGUGCAACAAUCUCAAAUCGCUAGGACUUCAAUUUUUUAAAUGCCAUACUCUACCAAAGAUUUUGAUAUAUGUUCCCUGAGGCAUUUACUCGGAGGCUGCUCUUUCUUUUUUUUUUUUUGUUGGUGGCGUCGGAAAGGAGGCUGCUCCAAGGCUUAGGGUUAUCAGAAAUUCUUUUUGGUCAAAUCCAAGCUUUCCCUUCAUUGUGCAUCUUUGAGGUUUUAUGUUGGGAACUUGGGUUACAUGUGGGAGAUGAUAAAUUGAUUUUCUAAAUUUGCUGUCGAUAGUAUCAAGUAUCAACUUGUCCAAAAGAUUUUACUGAUACAUUUGUGCUUUUCUGAUCAGUUGCAAUCUUAAGAGUGGUGCAGAAGCCUAAUAGAUAUUCUGUUAAUUGCUAGUGAGGCCCGUAUGUGCAUGUUGUAAUUAUCCUCCUCUAUCGACUUACAUGAUAAUGUAAGCUUACGAUGGAAGAUACUCUGGGUGUUUAUGGAGCUAGAGAGGGCAAAAGCUCUCUUCAAAAUUCUCCUGUUCCGCAAUUCUCUGUUAUGCAUAUACGUGCACACCUAUGCUUGCAUUUUCUUUUGUUUUAUUUUUAUCGUCUUUUGUAUCUUUAAGUUACCUUAAUUGCUGCUAAUGUACAUGUUCCGUCAUGCGUGACUAGAAUAUUCCGUGUUCCAUUUAGGUAUCGGCUUUCGGUUGGCGCUCAACUUCGGAUCCCGUCCAACGCAUUCUCUUCAGAGCUGGUCGCUGCCUCCUCCACCCAUGGCGGCAGUGGGACGCAAUGGUGGACCAUCCUGUUGAUCCCGAGAAGCAAACUGCUUCCGUCAAAGCAGAUAAUCCACCCCUGAAGAUGCAAAUAUGCUCAAGGCGACGAGACUAGACAGUGAAACUCAGCGGCUGCAAUCUCAGUUGCUUUCACUUUUCUGGAGUUCCCUAAAAAUAUUUUCGCGGAGCGCUUCAGAGAACACAUAGCAAAAGACAUUGGGGAAAGGGACAAUUGAAAAUCUUUCUUUUUCCAAUGAAGUUGCCAACCUUUUGUGAGAAGGAAGAUGGACUGCGCAACCGUACCAGGAUUUAAUUCCUUAAUUAUCAUUUAAUGCCUUGUUAUCUACACGUACACCUUUCGCAGAGUCUCAUUUUCUUCUUUGCCAACUCAAUCAUCUGACUUCGCUUGCAUUCUUGUGACAUGACAGCCAAAGCGUUUUUAUUUAUUUAUUAACAUUUAGGCUCUGUUUUUUUUUUAACUGUUUGUUUAAUGGAAAUAAUUUCUCGAUUAAUGGAAAAAUUUUCCAGCAUUUGAACCGUUUAGAAAAAUUAGUAAAUGAAAAUAGUUUCCUAAUUUAAUGAAAAAAUUAUGCAUAAAUUAGGAAAAUGGUAUGACAAAAAAAAAGGAAAUUUAGAAAAUUGAUUUAAAAAAAAAAUCGAAAAUCAUUAUAAAAUAAUGACUAGAUAUCGAUGUUUGAAUCAUAAAUUCAGUGCUUGGACAUCAGAAUCCUAACACUCAUUCUUAGAUAUUCGUGGCUUGGGCUCAUGGCUUGGGCCUGUGACCCUGGUCCACCCGCCUAGGACUUGGUCCUUGAUGUCCAGAUCGAGGUCACUUGUGCCCUUGCCUAGGUCUAGGUUGGGCCCAAGAACCUGGUGUCGGUGCUUGGGUCUCUAGCGCUCGUGCCUGAGUCCAUUGAAGUCGAGCUUCAGGCCCCAUAGCUGUGCUUGUUACCUCGAUACUAGAGCCGGAUCGAUAAAGACUGAGGGUAGGACCUCAAUACCUAUGCUCGAAUCCCCUAUGCCUUGGCUCAGGUCCAUCAAGGAGUGCUUGGGUCCCUAGUUCCCGUGCACAAAUUCCCUUGUACUUGAAGCUAGGUCCAUCGAGGCUGAGGCCCAAGACCCUAGUGCCGAUGCCCUGGUCCAUCGAGGCUACCCUUGAGUCCCUGGUGCCCAUGACCAAGUCCCUAGCGCUCUUGCUCAAGUCCAUUGUGGCCGAGCUUGGGACUUGGUGGCCCAGUGCAAGUCCACAAAGGCAGGGCUCAAUACCCUAAUGCCUAUGCUUGGAUCCCCCAUGCCUGAGCCUAAGUCCAACAAGAUCGAGGCCCUAGACCCUGGUGUCUGCAUCCAUCAAGGCUAGGCAUGGGACCCCGAUACCUGUGCUUGGGUCUUCAACGCUUGAACUCGUGUCUAUCGAGACCAAGCUUGGGACCCCGGUACCCAUGCUUGGGUCUGGCCUCGAUGGAGCUGAGCUCGGUCAUUGAGUGUCACGCCCCGAACCCUGAGCGCGCGCACAUCUCACUACGGUCGAUCAAAUGCGACAUUCCCAGGUAGUGUCGCCGACCCAUUCAUUUUAUUACGCAUGCGGAAGCGAAACAAAUCCCCUGACAAAAUUUAACUUGGGAUAGAAAAGUAGGCAAUCAAUCACAAUACCAAACACAUAGAUUUAAAUACAACUCUGGACUGUCUACAAAAUAGACCAGCUCGACAAAAGGGGAACCAUCCUAAAACCAACUAGCAGGACACGUUCACUGAUACUUCAAUCUCCACCUUUCCAGACUUAGGGCUUCAGGUCCUCCACGACCGCCAUCUAGGCACCUGAAAUUUUAAUCCCACAACCGGGAUGAGACGAUGUCUCAGCAAGUUCAACCCCCCAAACCCCUAUUAGAAAGAAAAUACACCCCGGGUGGCCUAGCCACGUCACACAGAAGACUUACCUCGUCUUAAUUCCUUCCUGCAGAUUAGCACAAUUUAUAUCACACAAUCUCAGGUAGUAAUAAUAAUUCAAACAAUUGGAAAGCCAUCACUUUCAUAUAAAUCAUAAUCGCACUCAGCACGCAUUCCAAUUAUCAUUCACUGCCACACAAGGGCAUAGCCUACUCGCAGGUCGGCUAUCUACUAACAUUACGGCAUUUCUAGAAGAAUAAAGGUCCCAGUCGGCCUAGCCACUACUGCGACCCGAGCCACGUCACUCUCCUAACAGCUUUUCUAGAAGAACAAAGGUCCAGUCGGCCAAGCCACUACUGCGACCCGAGCCACGUCACUCUCCUGACGGCAUUUCUAUAAGAACAAAGGUUCAGUCGGCCAAGCCACUACUGCGACCCGAGCCACGUCACUCUCCUGACGGCAUUCUAUAAGAACAAAGGUCCAGUCGGCCAAGCCACUACUGCGACCCGAGCCACGUCACUCUCCUGACGGCAUUUCUAUAGAAUAAGGAUCCAGUCGGCCUAGCCACUACUGCGACCCGAGUCUUUCAACCAGCACACAACAAUUAGAUAAUUAAUUGCACCAAUCAUCACUCAAUUUGAAUAUCUAAUCAUCAAAUUCAAAAUCUGAAUACACUGCAGCGAUCAGCACAAAAUUCUGAGAAUUUAGGGUCCCAAAAUAAUUUUCGAAAUUUAUUAAAUAACUAAAUUUAUUCCGAAAAUUAAUAUAAUAAUAAUAUCCAUAUUUUUCACGAUCCACGCUCAAUUUAUAAUAUCCAUUCAUCAAUUUCAAAAUCCGAUUACACCGCAGCGAUCGGCACGAAAUUCUAAGCAAUCGGGGUCAAAAAUAAUUUUUCCAUUUUUUUUAAAUUAAUAUUUUAAUAAUUUCAAAAUAUAAUAUAAUAUUAUAAAUUCCAGAAUUCGAAAUCAUUAAAUAAUUCAAAAGUAAAACCCUAUUAUGUCACAUCAAGGCUUUAUAUUAAAAUAAACAUACUUAACUUUAAACCAAACACACUUUAACUUAAUUAAGCAUCUUAAUAUAAUCAUCAACCAAAUAAACUAAUCUAACCACCUAAACUUACUUAACUUAGACUAAGCACACUUAGGGCAUCAUUAACCGUCUAAUCAAGAUUUAGUGAGCUAAACUCACCGGAUUAGCGAGCCGAGCGGACCAAAACGACGGGGACGACGCGAGGAUCGACUUUCCUCAAAGCGGGCCGAGCAUCCGAGCUCGGGAAGACGGCCAAAACGGGUCAAAACCGGGCUGCCAUACCCAUUUUCUGGGUUGCUGAUCGGGGCCGAGAGGGAGCAGGUCCGGCGCCGGUUCGGGCGGCCAAGGGCGGCGGAGGCAAAGCGAAGCUCCGACGGGCUAAGGCGGGGGCGCACGGCGGCUCACGGUGGCUGAUUCGUGACCUAGGCUGGUCGGACAGCCUCCUAAACGUGAAGACGAGCGAGGACGACGGCGAACGUUGGAAGAGCAGCGGCGCGACGGCAACGAGCGGCGAGCUCCGGUGACGGGCGACGAGCGGCGAAGGAGGCGGACGGCGAGGGGCUGCUUCGGCUUCUUCCUCUGCAAUUUUUCUGGUCUUCGCACACCAACCAUGGAGGAAUCGCACGGGAGAGGAAGAAGAGAGGGAGGAGAGAGAAGAAGGGAGGCCAAUUUCUUUUCCUUUUUCCCUUUUCUUUAAUCCAACAAAUUGGCCCACCACAUGACCUCAUGGGUGACAUCACACUCCACUCACCCAAUCCUCCACAACAUCUUCCAAUGGGUCCAAUUCCAUUUUCCGCCGGGGUCCAAUUCUUGUACACUUAUUUCUCCAAUUCCAUUCAAUUCUCUUCCAAUUGAGUCCAAUUGAAGUUCAUAAAAUUAAUCCAAUGUCACCACACUUCAAUUCAUAUCUUCACUUGACCGUAGAACCAACUUAAGUCCAAAAAGCAAGACUAAUGACGGGCCUACUAAUUUCUCGAGCCAAAAUAGCCAUUCUCGGAUUUAAUUUCUGAAAAAUUCUGAUUACAUGAAAAAUCUUCCGAAGGUAAGUCAAUGAUCUUAAAAUGAUUUGUGACACACCCAGACUUCCAAUUUCUGAAUUCGAUCUCAAUUCCACGGUUAAUUUCACUUUGGCACGAUACUAGCGCGGCCCAACCUACCGGGUAACCUUUAGAGAUUUUCAUGCAUUUGACCUGUGGUUGAUCAUCUCAAGCCACAAUGUACAUCUUUGAAAUAUUGGCGACUUUCGGUUGUCGGGGUAACCUCAAGGUUUCAAAUACGAACACAGGGUACCCAAUCGAUAGAAGUGCCGAUCAACAAGAAUUGUGCGAUCUGGUGGAAUCACCCACACUCGAUCACAUGCCUCUGUCGAAUCAACCUAUCUCCGGUCUCUAAUCGAUUUUUAUUUGUGCCGUAAUGACCCUUGCAGAUUAGCUCGGUCGAAAGGUCGCUUCCUGGUCAAAUUCUCGAGUCUGAUGCAUUAGAAACUCUUAACAGCUUCACCCGAUAGACUAGUUUCCACAUGAGUGGCCAACUCAAGGAAAAGAACUAUAUGCAUGCCAACGAAAUGCCCGUCUCAAUUUAUUGAAAAUAGAAUUGGAAAAUCGGGAUGUCACAUUGAGGACCCAUGCUUGGUCAUCAGGCACCCAGGAAUAGACAACGGCGUCUCGAGGGCAGCCUCAAUGGAUCAGGACUUGAGUGUUGAGGACUUGAGCUCGAGCACUAAGGACCCGAGUCAUCGGGUUCCUCGCUUAGCCCUUGUGGAACCAAGCUCAGGUACUGAGGAUUUGAGCACAAGCACCAGCGCGUCAAGAAGUUGUGCAUCGGCAUCAAAUUCUCAAUUCGGCUUCUAUGGAUGUGAAAUUGGUACCUGCGCUCUUGCUUGGGACCAAAUGGCCUUAAAUGGGUCCCUAGUGCUUGGGUUGGGGUCCAUCAAGGUUGGACUCAGGAUCUUGGUUCCUCGAUCAUCCAUGCGCAAGUCACAAGCACCCCAAUAGUGUAUAUGUAUUUAGGAAACUCAAAUCAGAUUUUCUUGUCCAAAAUUUGUUUUAAAGAUUUUUGUCAAACAUUGAAAAAAGUUGCAAUUUCCCUAGAAAAUAAUUUUCCGAAACAGAAAUAUAACAUUUUUUGUGAAACAAAUAAGGCCUAAAUAUCUAACCCAAAAAAAAAAAAAAACACAGAGCCUAAGUACAUUUGGAGUACCUCGAUGUCUUAUGGUCAUGCCUAUUUGAAAUGUAGUAAUAUCAUAAAAAUUCUGCAGACUGACAUAUUUGCAUCAUAUUUACUUCAAAUUAUUUGUUAUGUCACAAAAAAUUCGAAAUAGAUACAACAUUUGCCUCAAAUUAAUUUUUAUGUUAAAAAAAAUCCAAAAUUAGUGUGCCUCUACCACAUUUAUCCCAAAUAUAUUUUCACGUCACAAAAAAUUAUACACCAGAACGCUGGUGUCAAAUCUACCCUUCCGUAAAUUGGGAAAUUUGUUAAAAUCUGCUAACUUUGCUCUGGUUUCUUCAAAUCUGCGUGUGACGUGAUUGGACGAAGACUCGCAAAAGACAGAUUUCUGCCAAUUGGGAAAUUCUAAUUGUUUGUCCAAAGCCCUUCUUCUUUCUUGGGGAUGGUCGUGACACGGGUCGACAAGAAAAUUUCUGAAUGUUGACUUAGACCACAUAUAUUUGAGGGUAAAGAAAAGCACGUCGGCAAGUUUAUCUUCGCUAUAAGGAGACGCAAUCAAAGCUAUUCAAAAGGGUUUUAACGUAACCCCCUAACUAAAACAACAGCAAAACUAAUUUCAAAUCAUGUUGUGCGGCCUGAAAAUCUUUCCUUUGUUUCGCAGCGUCCGUGUUCAAAUUCAGAGGACUGACGCAUACUUUACCAAAAAAUUGCAACUUUUCAUAGACUUUUUCAGUAUCUAGAUAAUAUCACGUGUCAUAAUUAUUCUUACAUAAUAUACUAAGGCAUACUAGAAGUGAGAUAACUUCGAUUAGACCUAUGACCUACUUCAGUAAAGAGCACCUGACAAUUUGGAGCUCUUUCAUUUUACCCUUCCGCAGUAUAAAUUGACUCUAUGGGUCGGUUGUGUCAACUUUAUGGUUGAUUAAUUCCCGUCCUAUUUGAUAUUAUUCAUAGGGAGAAUUGUUUGUUUCGAUACCCCCUUCAAUACGAUGAUUUGCGGGAAGGGGGAUCCUGUCCAUUGCCAAACUGCUCAGUAGCGCAGCAGUAGCUGCAAAAGAAACUAGCUGAGGAGACUACGAUAAAGAAAUCCACAUCGGUGAUUACGGCUAGAGAUGCUGGAUAUUUUUUGUUUAGUUCACAUGCAGCAUAAUUGAAUCAGACUCGUUCGUUUGCAGAGGCGCCUACUUGACAUUCUCACAAGGUUACCCCAGACGACAUUUUGCUUGUGCUAUCCGCUGCACGGGUAUGCGGUGAUGAAAGUCACGGAUUGCUAGCACAUUGUAUAGAAAUUUUUUGUGAGAUCUGAUCUCGAAACUGUAACUUUAGAGAAAGGCUUGCUUCAUGCUAUCUUUGACGAAGGAGCGCUAUACCACUCUGGAUGAUGCAUAUGCACUUCACUAUGCCUGAGCAUACUGUGAUCCGGAGACCAUGACCGGAACUUCUUGAUCUCGAAAUUGCCCAUGUGAAUAGUAGAAAUGCAAGAGGCUUCACAGUUUUGCACGUCGCUGCGAUGAGGAAAGAGCCAAGGAUUAUAUUGGCUCUCCUCACGAAGGACGCACAGCCUUCUCAUCUCACGCUGGAUGUUAGAAAAGCUCCACCUAUGUAAGAGGCACACAAAAGCUGCAGACUGCUUGGAGUCUGUCGAGCAAGGAAAGCCUUCGCCAAAAGAUAAAAAUUACAGUCAAGAUACUGGAACAAGCCGAACGAAGAGAACCUUAACUUGGAGAAGCAUCCUUUGCUCUUGCUACGGCAGGCGAUCUGCGAAUGAGAUUGUUGUAUCCUGAAAACAGAGGUAAGAUACUUGGAUUCUAUUUGUUCCUCCUCGACUUCAGUGGUCCUUUUUUAAUAUGCAGAUUGAGAAGCCCAGUUUCUUUUCCUCGCAAUACCAUGGUUAUUAAUAAAAGUGCACGUACCUAUGAAGAAUCUGCAUGUCAAUAGCCUCCUUGGAUUAAUUGCUAUCUCCCAAGAAGUUCUUUGUUUACAUAAAUGCUCUUUGCAAGCUCCAGCAUAUUAUUUGUUUAGCGCUCUUAGCGUUCUUUAUGGAGUCAUAGGUGGAAGGUGCAUUGGCAUUGAUCUCAGAUGUUCAUAUCGACAGAGCUGUGGUGCUUUGGAACUCAUUUGCCACUUUCUUCAUGCUAUCAAUGGCCAUCAUCUUACAAAUUUGUGGGGAGUGCAUGUGUGCGAACAAGAGAGAGAGUGACUUCUAAGAUGAGCUUUCUUGAAGCAUAUCUUAUUCAAACAGUCCCUUGUUAUAUAACCACUAGUCUGGUUGAGGCUUCAUUUCUUCCUUUGCAACUUGAAACUUUCUCAAUGAAAAAUUUCCAGUGUCUAGCAUGACAAUGAUCACAUUGAUCAUAUUAGGAUGACAACGAAGAUCUUGCGAGUUAUCCCCCUUUUUAUGGUUUCAUUUAGGUGUUUGCUGAGUUCAAUGUUACCUGCUUAGCCUUUUUAGUUGGGUUCCUAGGUUAAUCCGCGUUAUUUUCCUUGUUAUAUAUCCGCUUGAGUUUUGUGGUGAAUGGAUCAGUUAGCAGCAGAGGCAUCUGCUAACUUAUUUCAGUGCCUCUACCUUUUGCAAGAUAAAUUUUUCAGAUGAGUUGGUCGUUCAUUUCUCAUUUGAAGAACGAUCUAUGUGAUGCUGCUAGCCUCAAAACUAAGAAGCCAUAUCCCAUCUCUGAUUUAACCAAGUUAAAUAGGAUUUGGGAAAUAACUUUCCUUCUUUGCCAAAGGAAAUGAUGCAACUCAAGCAAUUGAUAUGUUGAUGCUAGAGGAAAGUUAAUUCCUGUGUUAAAAGAAAUGGACAAAUUGGGUGAUCUCCAAUCAAGAUGCCCAGAGUUUUUAUGCUACUAGUUGUGACAUUCACGCGUACUUUACAAAAAAAUUGUUCUUGUUUUGUACACACCUGUUUCGGUAUUGUUCAUCGCCCCUCUUUCCUCCUCCAAUCAAUAUUGCUAGGAGGCGUUUGUUGUUACACAGGUGCAAAGCCAAUAGACCAAAAAAGCAAAAAAAAAAAAAAAAAUCACAAAAUAUUCCAAAUUAUUUUUACCUCAAAUUUUUCUUUACGUCAUAAAAAAAAAAAACCCAACAUGAUAUUAUUAAUGGAUUCCAUAGGAAUUUGGAAAGCAUGGGGAUCACAUAAGAAGGAUCCAUCAAAUAAGGGUGAAGAGAGGCAAAUAAAUCAGUUGGAAAUGUCUGAUGUUGACUCAAUUAGAUUAAGGCUCCGUUCGUUUCACGGAAAAUGACUUCCAGGAAAACGUUUUCUAGAUUUUCCAGCGUUCGUUUCACGGAAAAUAAACUAGUUAAGAAAAAUAUUUUCAUUAUUGGAAAAAACAACCUUUAAAAGUGAGAAAAUGUUUUCAACUUUUCAAAAGUGAAAAACAUUUUCUAUAACUUCUUCUACCUUGCUUCUUUUCACCAAACACAUUUUUGUUUUAUUUUUAUGCUUUCUUUUUCUUUUUUUCUUUUAUAUUUUUUCAAAAAUCGAGUUUUUAAUUGUUUUUUGUUUCUUUUUUUUUUCUUUUCUUUCUUUCCUUUCCAUCUUCUUCCUUGGCCUUAGUUGGUCGCUGGCCAUGGUAGCGGCUGGCGACCGGCUACGAGCCAGCUCAAGCCUCGCCCUAGGCCGACGAGGCUUCGCCUAGCCCGAUUUGGCGAAGCCGAGCUCGCCAACAUGGGGUGAAGCUCAGGCCUUGCCAAAUUUGACGAGCUGAGCAAGGCUUGGGCCUCGCUCGAGCUCGCCAAAGGAGCCCGAGCUCUACCGCCAGAUCCAGUGACUCGCGGCUCGCCUGGAUCAGCCGAACCUCGAGCUCGCCGGAUCUAGCGACCGCGUCUUAAUCGGCCACCGAGCAGCCGACCAUUGUCAGGCAUGCGGCGGCGGAGAAAGGAGGAGGAAUGAGGAAGGAUAGGAAAAAAGGAAAAAAAGAAAAAUAAUAAAUAAUAAAAAUUUCGAUUUUUUUAAAAUAAAAAUACUUAAAAAAAAUAUUAAAAAGAUAAAACUAAUUUUUUGGUCAAUUAAAAAUAUAAAAUUAAACUUUUUGAUAAUUUUUUAAAUAAUUAAAUUAGCUAACAAAUGAUGAAAAAUGUUUUUUACUAACACUUAUCUAGUGAGAUCUUGUCAGAAUCUAGUACGAACCCACAAUAUCUGCGAGCGAUUGGUGUGCUCAAAGGGCGUCCCGGAUUGUCAAAAAAAAAAAAAAAGGGCGUCCCGGAUAGAGACGAAAGUCUCUUGAGGCAGGCUUUAACAGGAGGACACCUGCCUAGCUUGGGUGGUCAUUGGUACGAGCCACAUCUUUCUUGUAAUUUAUGUUAGUCCAAGAUGCAAUGAAUGUGGUGGAUAAGCUCUCUCUUCGGAGGACACCUGGCCUAACCUGGGUUGUCAAAGGUCUGUCUCAUUGGAGGGAGAAUCGGCCAGAGCCCAUAGAGCCAGACGGCAGUCUGUUUGUCUAGCGUAUAGAGCAAAUCUAGGUCGAAAAAUCAUCGGCCAGAGCCAGACAGCAGUCUGUCGCAAGGUGCAACAAUUCAAAGUGGGAGUUAGGAUGCCAAACGUCCGAUCUCGUACGACCCCACAAUCCAAAUGGGCUUCAUAAUUUUUUCCCUCAAGCUGUUGUCUUGAAUUCCUUCAUGCCAAGCUUUUUUGCAAUAUCUUCAAAAGUCUCCUUUCCUAUUGCCUAGCUGUAAUCUUGUAGGUACGUAGCCUGGCUUCACAGGUCCUUGUUGCCUCUUAUCUCCGACAGGAUGAUAAUCGAGUUCUACGUAUCUUGUACGGUAAUUGGAAACUUGGUUUUGCUACAGUUUUCGUCGUAAUAUGCCUGGAAAUUCAAAUCAGUAUCUAAUGAUAGAAAAUUUCUCGACCGAUAGGAAAUCUUAAAUGACAAAUGCCCUUCUUUCGGUUUUUCAUAAAUUGAUUCAGCGUGUACAUUGAAAAAUCCUUGAUAAUUUCAACUUUUGAGCUUUAUGGGGAAAUUACUAAGUUUGCUUUACGGCUUUCUCUUCUCCUUUAUAGCAUCUAACGUAUACUUCUUAUUGAUUAAAAAAAAUUUCCAAUUUUAUUUCACGCAAUUUAAAUUUCUAAGAAUCACAAUCUUAAUUAGCAGAAAAAACUUUACAUAAUUCAUCCCGCAUCAUAUCGUAACACUAUUAAACUUUGUAUAAGCUUUAUCCUAUCAUGUUUUAACAUUGUUUCGAGGGAGUAGAACUCCAAUGCUUAAUCGUAUGCCCUUCAUCUAAUCUCCUGUAGUUUCAACCGACUGAAUGAUUACUACCAUUGACUAAAGUAGUGUUCUCACUAAAAAGGUCCAAUUCCGGUGUCCCAUUGGAUGCUUGCAACAAGAGCCCAUGUUGGAUAUAGAGAAUAUAUAGAGUAAUUCUCAGUUGAAAACAUCGGGGCCAGAGCCAGCAGUCUGUUGCGAUGUGUAACACACUUUUCUUGCAAAAAGGAAGGGGAUUUUAUUUACGUUGACUACUUGAUUAAUCUCUAAUUGAAGCUUUUGCUUUAUCUUCUUAUGUGCUAAAUGUGAGACCAGCUCCAAAAAUUUUAACUUUGAGCAUUUGUCACUUCAUGAUAACAUAAAAUAUAGUAAAUAUUUGGGAACCAAGAGACUCCUCACUUGCAUGUAGUUCACUGCCAUGCCAUUAGCAGUGUCUUUUCUCGUAGGGCACAAAUAACGUGCCUCUUCAAUGCAUGAAAGUGAGGAUUAUGUUUGCCUAAUAUGUGUAGGGAUACACAUACAUCAUGCGCACUCUUGUUCUCCCCAUAGGAAGAAUCUGGGAUUAGUACCAUAAAAAAAAUCCUAAAUUACCUCAAAAAAUUCAAACUGAUAUAUCUGUAAUAAAUUGAUAUGGAUUUUCAUGUGAACUUACCAUAUCAGUUGAGUUAAUGCCACGUGUUAUCUAAUUCGAUAAUUUUAUACUAAAAUUUGACAUAAGUUCAUGAAAUGUAUAUAUGUCACGAACGCAUCAGUUUAUGGAGAAUUAUAAAUCAGUUUGGAGUAAUAUCGACUUGGGAUCUUUUAUGAUAUUCAUUCAAAGAAUUUAUUAAGAACGGAAAGGGAUGGUUGAGAAAUUAGCUUUGAAAUGUCUAACGUGAACAUGAGAUGGCCUUAAGAGAGACGUUAAGGGAGUGAUCACCUUUUGGGAACAUAAUGGGGUUGGAGCUUUCAUUUGUCUUGGUCCGUCAUUCGUGGGUUUCCACUUUAUCUCAUCACAUCUUUGUCCAAAUUUGGUAGGAGUCACAUCUGUUAUGUACUGAAAAGGUGCACCAAAUAUGGAUAAUAAUAUCUAUUGGGGCGGGCUUUACGAUGACACCUGGCCUGAUUUCGGUGGUCAAAGUUCGAAUGUGUGCAUUUUUCUUCCUCUUCUCAAUAAUGAGGCAGGAACUUUGAAAUUGAUCCCACUUUUGUCGCAGAUUCUUCAAAAGAUUCGGUAUAUAGCCCUUGGAAUUGGACGUAUUCUCAAAAGAGUCUUGAAAAUAGGCUUCAUUAUAAAUGAAUAACCCUCAGCAUACGCCGGCAAGCAUGUGCAUGACAUGUGACACUUCCCAAGGUCAUGAUCAGCGGACAUUUUCAUCAAGAGGCUUUUUAUUUAUUUAUCUAUUUUUAUUGUCUUUCUCUUUCUUUCUUCAUCUUCCCCACUACAACAUCUUCUUCAUUCUGCUUCACCCCCGUUGUUGACUUCGACACCUUUAUCAGCCUCCCCAGUAUCGAGCUCUUGCGCUUCAUUCCCACGGGUAGACUGUUGUCGGUCUUAGUGACGAACGGGAAGUUUGUUAGGACUUGGAGGUAUCAUGACAAAAUGAAUGCUGAGUGAAGUCUUGAGUACUAGCGUGCUCAAGAAGAAUUGGGCAGCAAUACGUAAGGCGAUUAUCAACAGGAAGUUUGGAUAGACUCAGAGAAUUGCUUAUAAAAGUAGCUCGUUAUAUCGACCGAGGAAAAAAAGAUUUUUUUUUUUCACAUGUUUACACAAUUUGGAUUAGGAGACCUAGAGAUUCCUUUGAUUUAAUUUGUGUGUUAAAAUGAAUAAAUAGCUAAUUUCGGGGCCUAGAAUCUCGAAUUGAAGAUAUGGAGAAAAAUCAAUUUUAUUGUUACCUAUGUUAUUCGAUCAAUUAGAAGAAGAGAUUAUUGACGCAUAUAACUUACUUUAUUUAGGGAAACCUCAUCAUUACCUAGAAAAUUUGAUUAUAUGGACGAUCGGAUUUCACGGUAAUUAUGUUCAUAAAUUCCAACUACUAAUUGAUUUUCUUAGAGAUUCUCUAACGAUUGACUUGGAGGUUGAUGACUAGGGAUGAACGAUUCCAAGUUCUGUGAAGGUUUCACUUGGAAUCUGAAAUCUACCCAUUGGGACAUAUUCCUCAUUUUUUUGGAACUUGGAACCUACCAUGCUUAAUUUAGAAUCUGAAACUUAUUUUGUCAUAAGCUCCAAAGUCGGUUCCAGUUCACCCAGGUUUCACAUCUAUUAUUAAUUAAACGAUUGUAGCGAAUUAUCACUUUUAAUAAUCAUUAUUUUACUACAAUUCACUGACUAUAACUUAUAUUUAGACACACGAAAAAAUUAAAAUAUCAACAAAAUAAAAGUUUCCGUCAUAAAAUAGAAACUCAGAUUAAUGGUUCUAGAUUAUACACUUAUCAUCCAAUGACAUGAAAUACCGUAGAAUCACGCGAAGACAUAAACCAAGAAAAACAUAAAAAUUUGUUCCAAACUCUAGGUUAUAGGUUCUAGGUUCCAUGUUUCACAAAUCUAGAACUUAGAACUUACUCGUCGAAACAGAUUCCUCAAUUUUUGAAACUUGGAACCCACCCUGUAUAUCUUAAAACCUAGAACUGGACAAGUUCUUAUCGGUUUGGUUCUUAAGUUCUAGGUUCUAAUAUGAAAUUAUGCUCACCCCUAUCGAAAACUAUAUAAGAAGAUUAAUACACUUUUAAUAUAAUAUAUAAAACUAAGAAAGUUAUGGUUACCGAUAUAGUCACAUUCUCUCUGUGUUGUGAGCAUGAUCUAUAGUGAUAUACUCUUUUGAGAGUUGUCAUUACUCAUUUCAAUUUGUAAUUUGAAGAGUGUACAAGUAUGUAGGUAGAAAUUGUUUAUUGAUAGCGGGAUCUAUCUAUUUUGAAUAGAAGCAACACGUGUUUCGUAUUAACUACUCACUAAAUUAUCAGUGGACCUCGGCCUAUUGAUUGCUAUUAGUUUGGGAGAAUGGAUAUAGGCUUGGCAUAAACCAAACCACCAUAAAAAUCCGAGUGCAUUGUGUUCUAUUUCUUUACUUAUUUGAUCAUUUAUCUAAUGGAAGUAUCUUGCAUCUUAUAUCAUCUACUAUUCCUGCAUCUAUCAACCUAGAUUGAGUAAUUCCAUGAAAAUUUGUUAUGUUUUGAAAAUAAACUUAUUCACCCGAUCUGGUUGUAUUAUUAGCAUCAACAAAAUGUGCCACAUGAUAAGCACAUGCUCAACGAUCGAUAAUAGUCGGCUAGUAAGCUAGGAGUAAUUUUGAUACUUAGUCACCCACUUUAGAGACUAAUUAAAGAAAGGGUUAAUACCCUAAAAAAACCCCAAACUGGUACACUUGUGACAAAUUUAUCCCAAACUAUUUUUUUUACUAUGAAAAACCCCAAACCAGUACACUUGUGACAAAUUUACCACGACUGACUAUAAAAAAAACCCUAAACCGGUACAUUUAUGACAAUUUUAUUCUAAACUAAUUUAUUCGACCACAAAAAACCCCAAACUGAUAAAUUUGUGACAAAUAUGCCCUCCGCUAAAUUAGAUUAAUACCACAAAAAAAUCACAAAAAUUGUAAAUUGUGACAAACGAUGCAUAAAAUCCUAAAUCGAUAUACUAGUCAACUGUCACGUGUAAUUUAACUUAAUAAUUUGACAAUAAAAUUUAACAAAAACUAACAGAUGUAAAUUUGUCACAAGUGUACCAAUUUGCGGUAAAUUUGUCAAAGGUAUACCAGUUUGGAGUUUUUGGUGGUCAAAAAAAUAGUUUUGAGUAAAUUUAUCACAAGUGUACCAGUUUGAAGUUUUUCAGGGUAUUAACCCUUAAAGAAAAUAUUCACUUUUAGGACUCUUUUAAAAGAACGACCUCAUUUCAUAAGGCUAUUUGAAAUUUUCACGAAAAGCUUUGCCAACCAUUUUGAAGGAUUAAAACUCUAAUGCUAAAGAAUAUGCCUGUGAGAUUUUGCGGGACAAUUACCAACUAUUCUAAAAGCUUAAGCCAUUAGAUAAAAGCAUAGUUUAUUACUUAAAUUAUUCUAACACUCUCUCUCAUGCUUAAAUUGAUCUUUACAUAUUUAAUUGGGAAAGCAAAUAAGGCUUGUAAAGAUAUAAAUUCAGAAUCUCUAACUUUGAUAUCAUAUGAAAUUUUGUGGGACUGUCGUCAAUUAUUCUAAAGGCUUUAAGUUAUUAAAAGAAUGUGUUAUUUACAAUGCUUUCCAUUUGAUCUCCUUUAAUUUUGAGCAGUUUGCAUUAGGUCCUCAUGACUAAGUAGUGUCCUCAUGAAUAAGGUCCAAUCACGAUAUCAACCACAUCCAGCAAUGAUUGGAACAGCUCAUCGGUCAAAUAGAUGAGAAUAGGACUGGUAAAGAGCUCUUUGGCAGGUUAGAGGAGAGUUGAUCUCCAAGUUAAAGGUAGCCCAAGUCAGUCAAUCCAUCAUUUAGUUAGUGGCUAAGGCUUGGUUUCGUGCGGUUCAUUACGCCAAAGCAAAGGCUUUCAAUGAACUAUUGGAGCUAUCGAGAGUACCAAAUGAUGACGGUAACGAAGGUUGCUGACUUUCGAUGGACACGGAGUCAACAAGUUUAGUCGAACAGCGUAAGGAGUCUAGGGUUACAAAAACGUUCGCCAACUUGGAUAGGUCUCCCUUCUUGGCACACUGAAGCUUGCAAUAAGCACACAUAUUAGAUUCACAAGAAGCACAUUGAGUUUAAACAGAAAAGAAAAAAAGAAAGAAACAUUUCUCCCAGUAGAGAAUACAUGGACAUACCUUGUAACUUCUGGUUAGCAUUUGGUAAUGUAAAACAUCUCGGAAAGCUCUUCCCCUAAAAAGUGAACAUGAACUUUUUCGCACUAUAAACGCUUUUAUUUAUACAUAACUGGUAACAACACAAGCGCAGAAAGAAAUAAAAAGUUAGUGCAAACUUGAGAAAAGAACAUUGGGAGGUCUUUGAUACAACGAUGAAAAAGUAAGAAACUACAACAAAUGUACACGAGCAUAUUCCAUUGACCCACCAAAACCUAGUUCAGUGGUUUGGAUUCUUCUUCUUUCCUGUGUCCGGCACAUAUACCUUCAUGCCGUGAAGCGAAUGGUGGCUUCACUCCACUCUCUCUCCAACUAUGCAAAAGCUGCAAUAUGUGAUCUGGGUCACAAAAAACAGCAGCAACAAUGAUUCUGAUGUCCAGCUUAAAAUAACAAAAAGGAACCCAAAAGAGCAAGAAAAUAACAGAAAGGGCAGCGGGGGAGUACAUGGAAAUUUAGGGCAUCAGUCUCACUGCUUGCUCCAUCAGUUCCCUCGUGUACCCAAUCCAUCAAUCAGACCCUCCAGUUCAAGAUAGAUUCCCAUGUCAUUCACUGUCAGGUGGUCUUCUACUUCUAUGUUGUCUGCGUCAUCGCCAGCAACCACGUCUUCCCUGAGGAGUUUCUCGGACAUCUCAUGGAAUACUGAAGACAAAUCAGAGGGACCAGCUCUGGCCAUCUGAUCGGGCGUCUGACCCAGCGAAACUCUGAAAUCUUCAACAUCCAUUGAAGGCCACGGGUUGGGCAUCUGAAUGGUGUCAAAAUCCUCCGGCAUGACCCUAUUUGGCCAAUGCUCCAUCUGUGCCAAAUCAUCACUGAUUCUCAGGCAAUCAACGUUUGGGCUUUGAAUCAUGUGAUCCAUUGAUUCAUUCAAGCAUUUGGUGGCUUCAGCAUCGGGACCAAGCAAUUUGCUUUUCUCGCUGGAUUCACAAGUCUCUAAAUCUCUCUUCUGCCUCUUCUUCUGGAUUAAAUGCUGGACAAAGUUGGGCCUUUUGGCUGCUUUUGUGAGGAAGAGGAAUAUCUGCUGGUUCCUGCACUCGGCAUGGCGAACCCGCUCGGUGACGUGCUCAAUCUCAUGCUGAAAGUUCUCCCGCUCUUCUCUUAGUUUAAGGAUCCUGGUCUUCAACGCUUCCUGGUCCUUCUUAAGCGUUUUGAGUUCCACUUCAUUUUCAGCUUUCUGGUAAUCAGAGGUGACAGUACUACUCGAUGUUUCUCUAUGCUCGUUGGAUCUGCGUCUCCUCUUUAUAUUCUUCAGCAAGUGCUUCUUCCCUUUGUGAAAACCUCGGUUCGCAAACUCCCAUCGAUCUGGAUCGAUCUUCCUAAAACCCUGCGACAUAUUUUGAAUUAUGAUGCAUAAAGAAUAGAAGAUAGGAAGAAUCUACGUCUAUGAGUUCAUAUUGAACCAAAGGCUAAAGAGUAGAAAUAAGCAGAAUGAAGGCCAAGAAAGUUUCAAUGGAAGAUGUGCACAAGGGGUAUUAAUAGGCCAAUAUAGAAAGAACGCGGCUUACAAUGCACGUCAAGGAGAGAUCCUUUACAAUGAUCCAAAUACCAGUACAAAGAGUGUGUGGAAAAUUUUAAGAGUAAAGGCAAACGACUCAAAAUCAAUCCGGACACUACUACAUAUAAUAUGAACACAACAGUGCAGAAUUAUGCUUCUGGCCUUGCCUAAAAAGAAGAAAGGUAUCCGAAGGCUUUAAAGAACACUGGAUAGAAACAAAGCAAUGGCCAAAGGAAACUUAUCCUCGGCUAGAAAGUGCAAAAUGGACAAUUGAAACAGUAAAAUGCAAAAUACUAACCGCUAUAAAGGAACUGCUGUAGUGCAUUUCUGAAUCCAGUAAGAAGAUAAUCUUUAAUGGGUGUUCUGAUAUCACGGUUGGUAGUUUCUGCAAACUACCGUCUAAAGCAUCAUCACUUGAAUAUGAUGACAGACCGAGGGCCUAGUAGGGGCCAUCGUCCACCGGCCACUUGAUGCAAAUUUUUGUGAACAUGUGCCGCGUGAUUCAUGAAAUUUCAUAUAGAAUCUGUGUAUCUCGCCCACCGUUUCAGGUUUCUUGGUUCCUUUUCCCUUAUACUAGGGUAAAGCACAAAUAGUAACCGACAAAAUGGGUUAAAUUGAGUCUCAAUACCUGAGCAAACGUUUUGAGUGGAGUCCCUCGGAGCCUAGCCUAUUGCCCCGGGGACUACCCGCUGGCUGCUGUAAGAAGACCACACUCUCGACGACAUCCAAGAAAAGAACCGGAGUUAAACCAAAACACACACACACAUACAUACUUUAUACACAUCAAUACAGUAGAUAACGACCGCAAGGAAUGAUAUAGGUUUGCUCUUAUCCAAACAUGAAGAAGUACCCACGUAAGUAUUGAGCUGCCUGAUGAAGCUGGAGAAGUUGGAGUGCUUGAAGUAUCGAGGCAGGACCUCCUUGGAGAACUCCUGCUCGUCCCACACCACGAAGCUGUCCCGCCUCAAACCCCACGACACCACCGGGUCUGUCCCCGGGUCCGACACCAUCUCAUACGUCUUCCUCAGGAACGGCGUUGGUCCCGCCUCUCCCAGCCCCUCCAUCGGCUUCGCCACAUCGUCCGCUACUGCCUGCCACGAGCAUGAUGGCAAUAAAAUGGUCGCAUCCCUGGGAUCAGCAAUGGUCGGGACCUCCUCCUCUUCCACUUCCUCUUUGAUCUUCGCCGCCUUCACGGCCAGAGCUGGACAGGGUUCGGGCCGGGUCAGGGACGAAUGCAAGCACGACCGAGCUCCAAUUUUGCCAUCGCCAGUGGCUACUUCUGGCAAGGGACCCGAAUGGGAAAGCGACCCAGAGCAUCCUAGCUCGCCUGCACGGGGCUUUGAUUGUGAUCGAGGAGAAUCGGUUCGGGUUAGGUUCAAGUACAAGGGCGACUGGGACCCUAUCUCGCCAUGGUCGCCACCGUCAAGAACAGCAACGGACGCGAUUUCUUCCCGUGAUUUUGCGAAAGGUUUUGCCUUUUCCAGCUCAAGACUUGAUUCUUGGAAGAAGGUUUUGGAAAACGACACGCAAGAGCCAUUGGUACGGCCGGCGGAAUGAUCGCCGGCGCCGCCGUGAGACGCCGUCGUUAACUUGAGCUCGAGUUCAAGCUUUUUUCUUCUCCUUUUUUUCCCGUCAGAAGCUCGAGUUCAGGUUCAAAGGUGGAGAUAGCAUGAGAAAUUUUCAAGCGAGUGAAUAUACAUGGUAGGGUUUCGAGAGAGAGAGAGAGAGGGAGCUUGAAUUGAAAAG